AAACAGAGGAAUGAAAAAAUGAGCUCCCUUUAUUUUACUCAUGAAAUUAAUAUUACAUGUAAGUAAGAUGAAUGGAGGGGAGGCCCUAGCUAGCUUCAGAUCUCAGUGAGUCUUCAGUUCACUGCUUCGUCUUCAUCAGUACCGGAGGCCGAGUCGGUUCCUCCACCGGCGUCGACUGGUUACUCUUUCCCUUGGCCUUUAUAGAUGCGGGUGUUGCCAAGCUCAAAAAUUCCUACUCUCUCCGAUUUUAUCCCCGUAAUAUUAUUCCCAACGAUGUUGAAGUCAUUGCCUCUCCCGCCCUUGUCUUUUUUCUUGGGUUGGAGAGUUUUAGUGCUCACUGAUGGGGAUUUCGAGCUGUUGCUGUUUUGUUGGUCGGUGUUCGCCUUAGAAGAAUCCUUAGAACCUUGUUUCUGAUCACCAAGCUGAGGCUUCAGAUAUAGCCAGCCGGUAGACAUUUUCACCGUCUGGGAUCCUUGUCUGGAGGUAUCGAUAAUUGGCUGCUUGUGUGCCAAACAAAACUCUUUUUCUUUAUAUAUAAGACAAAGCAACCAAUUGGCAGAGCACGCGGGUCCAUUGUACCCCAUUAGUAAGUUGAAUAAAGAAGAGAAGUGAGUAAAAAAAUUUUGCUCAUGUGGGUGUGAACCUGUUUAACAAUUGCGCUUCAUGAUAACAAUAGAAAUUUGAUGGGGUUAGUAAUUUUAAUUGUUUAUCAUUAAUAAAGUUUACAUAAUUAAUUAGCAUUUGUAAUCAUGCAAUUACCUUUUUCUAAUGAUAAUUUAUUUAAUAUUAGUAGCAGCCGUCACCAUUUCAAUUUGGAUCUACAAAUAUUUUUUAUGUCCCAUCAUGUGAAAGAAACAUGAACACCAAUAGGAAAAACGAAAAUUUUCCACCCACAUAAAGUACCUUCGUCUUGACUAUACUACUCCAAGAUGAUUAUCAGGAUUCUUUUUUUAUUUAUUAUUCCCAUUUUUAUCCUCACCUCUAUACAAGAUGGGUCUCCAAAUGAAGCUGAAUACCUGCACAAGGAGAUGGCAACAAAACCCUUUACUGGUCCCUCUAGAAAAGUUUCUGAAACUCAAACAGAGCUCCCACGAAAAGAAACUGAAACAGUGCUCCCACAAAAAGAUACUGAAUCAGAGCUCCCGCAAAACAGAACUAGUGAGGCAGAAAAUAGUAAUAACCAGACCUGGAACAUUCGUGAGAAUGUAAUUACCGGAGCAGAAAGCAGAAACGUUGGGGUUUUCGACUUUGGCAACGAAUAUCAUGAAGGUGGUGCUGUUGAUCAUCAUCAAGGAAGGAAGGGUCAAAACAACAGAGACUACAACAUUGAUGGCAACAAGAUUGAUUCAAAAGAUGGGGAGUUUGUUGGGAUCGGCAAAUUUGGCAACAAGUACUACAACCCGAGGAAAGAAGAAGGAACGAGCAAGAAGCCAUGGUAUAAGUUUUGGUAAAAAUAAACGAGAGAAAGUAAGGGAGCUGCGCUGCUGAAUAAAGAAAGAGGGUGGAGUUCAUUUCCAUUUUAAAGUCCAUGUCUUUGUUUCUUUGUAGUGUCUACUAUUUGAAUGUGGUUAGUUACAGUAUUGGAGUUGAGAAUCUGGUCGCUUGGGUCGAUCUGUGGAAUUUAAAAUAUUGAUUUGCAGCAUGAAAAAUACGUUCUAAAUGAGAAAAGUAGGGAUUAUGAACCCCGAUGCCAUGUGGGUCUUGAUCAAAAUCAUAGAAGGAUCAACCCCUAACAUAUACUCAUCAGUAAUCUGUGUGUAUUUGAAUUUAUUAAUUUGUGCAAACGAGAAGAGGAAACUUUCCCGCAUUCGAAUGCCAUGAACACCUGAAAGCUUAAUUCUGAGCAUGAGAAAGAACUAAUAGCGAAGAAAUCUGACUUAUUGAUUGCCACAAAACCAGUCCAUCCAUAAAUCUAGUUUUUCCUGCCCCAUAACAUGUGGUAGAGUCUUGACCUGCCCCAUAAGAUCUAGUUUUUUGCCAACUAUUUAUUUUUGUUCUUCUCAGUCGUGCCCUUUUUUUACUCAAGCCGCUUGUAUCAUUUUUUGUUUUGCUUACUCACCAUUGAUAUAUAAAAGAGAAAAGAAGAAGCAAUAACUAGAAGAACAAGAAGACCAAGAAGAAAUGGUACGCUCGACUUCUUGUUGUACUUGUUGCCAACUUCUUUUUUCUUUUUUCUUCCCAAAGAUGUUAAACAUUUCUUAAUCUCCUUUCUUUUUUCUUUUGCUUCUCUGUUUGAAUUUUCUCUCUUUUUGGUUUUGCUUACUCUCACAGUGGCUAUGAAACAAAAAGGCUAGAACAAGAAGAAAUAAUACUCAUGGCAUGUACACAAGAAGAAAAAGAAAUAAUACUUACUCAGCAUAUAUCAAUAUACUUAUGGCAUGUAGAAGAUGAAGAAAUACAUAAAUAUAUAUAAGAGAAAUAAGAUUCAGAUUCAAGGAAAGGAACGCAAAGAAAAGUUUGAGUAUAGGAGCUCUAGUGGCCAUACAUCUCCAAACCCUUCCACUACGUAAUAGUAUGGGAAACUCCAAACCGAAUAUAUCUUUCUUUCUCACUUACUGAUUUUUCUCUUCUUUUUCUUCUUGGUCGUGCCUUUUUUUUUUCAAUCAAGCCGCUUGCUUCAUUUUUUGCUUUGCCUACUCACCGUUAAUAUAUAUAAAAAAGCUAGAACAAGAAGAACAAGAAGACCAAGAAGAAAUGGUAUGCUCGAGUUUUUGUACUUGUUGCCAACAUUCCUAAUCCCAACAUCUGCACUGUUAAUUGCGGCGAUAUUAUUAUUAGUAAUAUUGUUGGUCUCAUUGCUUUCAUCAAUAUUUUUUGCCUCACGAUUUUCAUUUUGCUGGGGCUCUUGUUUAGAUCUUUCUUCUUGGGACUCUUCUCCAAAAAGCAUUCUAGGAUGACCAAGAAAGUGAUUUCUUACCCUCCCCUGUGGCCUCUGUUUCAGUUGUUCAGCUUCAGUUCGAUAUCGAGACCCAUCUUAUAUAUAUGCAAAGAUAAAAGUGGAAAGAUCUUCAAAUAAGUGGAGGCCAAUACUCCAAAAAUCAAAUGAAAGACAAUCUUUCAAUAAUUUGGCUGCUUGCGUGCCAAAAAAAGUAACUAUUGUUUCUAAUUGUAAGUGAAGCUAAACUAAACUCUUCUUCUUUAUCUAAUAGACAAUGUGAGAAUAUAAUUAAUCAAGCUCUCUUUCGGUUACAGUAGAUAUAUUAGUGUUUGUCGAAAGUGAAGAUAGAAAGAUAGUAAAGCAACCAAUUGGCAUAGAAUGUGUGGCCAUUGUCCCCAACAAACAUGUGGUGUAAAUUUUGGACCAUACCAUGAAGGAAAGUUGAGAUUCCACUACAAAGCCAAUUGAUUUUAGAAAAAUAGCCCAACUCCUUAUAAGUAUACAUAACUUUUCAAUGCGGGACAAUACUCUUAACAGUUUGAAUGCACCACGAUCUCUCUCCUAGUCAAAGUCCAAAGGUUCACACCACCCUUUCAGACUCCCCUCAUGAAAAAAGCAAAAUAGGGCGGUGUGUGCGACCCCAUUUUCGUUUGGGUUGGGUGGGUGCAGUAAUUUUCAGGAUCAAGUAGACCUUUUUUCUUUUUUAAUUGUACUAGAAUUUAGGUCCAGCUAAGCCCUAUCGUAAUUAUUGUUAUACAUUCGUGGCAUGAAAAUAAAGUUAAGAAUCUCUGCAAAGAAUUCUUGUUCAUUCUAAGAAAUAUCUCAUACAGUACCCGCGUGGUAACUAACCUAAACAGAAAUUAAAAAGUCAAAAUAAUAUGCCGAAUAAAAAAAAUGAAAUAAAAAUUCAGUUAAAAAAAUAAAAAUAAAAAGGUCCACCAGAUCCUGAAAAUCAAACACUGCACCCCAAAUAAAAAUGGGGUCCCACGCAUCACCGGCCUAUUUGCCCUUUUGGCGUGCGGAGAGUGUGAAAGGGUGGUGUGAAUCUUUGGACUUUGAAUAGGAGAGAGUGUCAGGGUAAGGAGUUUUUCAGGGGUAAACGAAGACUGGUUCACUGGUUGGUAUGUAAAUGGUUUACUGGUUGGUAAAUGGAGACUGGUUGGUAAAUGUAAUGAUGACAAUAUUCAAUUACAUUAACUUGGACCUUAUUUUUUGGUUGGCCAUGGAGUCAAAAGAGUUUAUGGCUUGCUUUGGGCACGUGGGUACUAUCUUAGAGCAUCUCUAAGAGAUAUGCCAAAUACCAAACAUUAAAUUUAAAUUUAAUGGUUGAUGUAGUAAUUUGACAUCUUACACAGCUUUUCAUUUCAUCUGAUAUGUCAAAUUAAAUUAUUAUUUUAUUACAUUUUAGUGUUGAUUCAUUUUUAAUUUUAAAAAAAAAAAAGAAAAGAAAAAAUAAUAAAAUAUUCAUUUAAUAUCUUGCUUUUGGAAUGUCAAAAAUAAAAUCCCAACCUCCAACCUUCAAUCCACAUCAGGUUUGACAUAUCGGUUGGAGUGAUGUGAGAUGUUAUUUCUAACUGUUGAAUGUCUAUGUGGCACGUUUGACACAUCGAUUGGAAAUGCUCUUAGGGAUCAAUGGAAUUUCUCUCCUAAUCUCCUCAAACCCAAUCAAAAUUGUUAAACGGAAACCAUCAGGUUUAAACACACAUGAACCAAAGUUAUUCAACUUACUUAUGGGGUGUAUAAACUGGUGUUGAGAGAGUAAUAGCGUGAGAGGAAGCUCAGUAUAGUCAGCCGACCUUGAGAAUUUUGCCCAUCAACAAACUUUCUAGACAACUUUAUUAGACCGUCACACACAUCACUCAUUAGACAAGAAAUUAGUGACAGAGCCAUAAAAUUUAACAGAAAAGGAACCUCAAAUAUUAAAAUAUAUUUUUCUUACGAUGACAUUUGAACUAAUUUUUUUCUUUUCUUCUUGAAAUAUAUAGACUUUGCCAAAAAGUACUGUGUGUGGAGAGGGUUAGUGAUUUUCCUUUCUUCUUUUUUUUUUUUUCCCUUUUUUCUCCCAAACCUCGAUGGUGCUAGUGCAUUUAUUAAAAAUAAAAUAAAAGAAUUGCAAAUUAACAAUCCAAAAUUAAGCAAAAUAAAGAUUAGGCAAACCAAAUCAAUAUAACCUAAUCACACAAAAAAUAAUAAAUACACCGGGCCCACCAAGUGAGAAGAAAUCAAGGAUAAAAUAGUUUGCAAAGCAAUUACCACCCCACCUAAUUACCCUAGCAGACAUUAUCAAGACUCAAGUGAGAGGUCAUGUCAAGAAUGCAAAAUAACAAUAAGGAUUUUCAGUCGUUUUAUUCUGAAGUUGAUAACAAUAUUAGUUAGUUUGUAUUCAGUUAAGCUGUCAUGUGUGUGCUUAUGUGUUGUUAGUUAGUAUUAGCUGUAAUAAGUCUUGGUUAGUGAGAUAUAUAAUACUGAUGACACUACGAUUGUAUUCAUUUCCUGUGAAAUCAAUAUAGAAAGCAUAUCAUUUUCUCUUGAAUCUUCUUCUUCUUCUUCUUAGCUUUCUUAAUUCUUAAGCUUCCUCUUCUAAAUUGUUAACAUGGUAUCAAAAGCCAUGGUUCGAUCCUGAGUUUUUUCUGCUUCCGAUGUCUAUGCCUUGACACUCUUUUCUGGAACUCCAUGAAAAUCGACGUCGAUAUCAGAUUCUUCCACUUCAUUAUUGGAUUCUCAAUUUCGUCAAACUACCUUAAGGAUUCUAUUCAACUUGCUAUUGGGGAUUUUCAGUCUCCUCUUUGAUUCGAGUGUAUUUUCAUUGUUCUUGCUCGCUUGCUACUCACUUUUGGGGGUUUUCUAUGAGAUUGCUGAUUUCAAGCCUUCAAAUUGAGGAUUUCUAAAUCCAUAUAUAUUUCGCGUAAUUCUCCAUUGAUUUACGAAUUCAAAGACCCAUCGAUUGGGAUUUGUUGAUGUUCUGGUGGCAUUCGAUGUUAUUGAUGGAUUGUUGCUCAUGUUAGCGUUUUUCGAUUGGGAUUUGUUCUACUCAAAUUGUCAAAUUGUGGUUGUUCAAAUUGCUUCGACUCACUGACUUCAAUUUCAUGUUUGUCUAUGGAGGUUGUAUUUUCUCAACUUUGAUAUGUGGUGGAUUUCAGAUUGUUAGUUGCAUUUCUACUAUUUGCGUCUUAUGGAUGUUCUUUUGGUAUUUCUGUUGUUCAUCCUCUAUCUCUUCCUAUGUUCAAAGAUUCAAGUUUUCUCUUCACCUUUGAUUGAUAGUUACUGUAGUCGCUCCCAAAUCAAACAUUGAAUUCCUUGCUAUAAACUCACCUUCCUGUUCUUGAAUACAUCACCGUGGGUCAAAUAUUAAUGGUUCAUUUGUUAUUUACUCACCGUUAAUAUAUAUAUGUAUAAAUUAAAAUUAAAAUUAAAAAAAGCUAGAACAAGAAGACCAAGAAGAAAUGGUACGCUCGAGUUGUUGUACUUGUUGCCAACAUUCCUAAUCCCAACAUCUGCGCUGUUAAUUGCAGCGAUAUUAUUAUUAUUAAUAUUGUUAGGCUUGUUGCUUUCAUCAGUAUUUUUUUCUCACGAUUUUCAUUUUGCUGGGGCUCUUGUUUAGAUCUUUCUCCUUGGGACUCUUCUCCAAAAAGCCUUCUAGGGUGACCAAGAAAGUGGUUUCUUACCCUCUCCUAUGGGCUCUAGUUCAGUUGUUCAGCUUCAGUUCGAUAUCGAGACCCAUCUUAUAUAUAUGGAAAGAGAUAAAAGUGGAAAGAUCUUCAAAUAAGUGGAGGCCAAUACUCCAAAAAUCAGAUGAAAGACAAUCUUUCAAUAAAUGGAAGUUACUAUUGUAAACUAAUCACAUAAAUUCCUUAAACCCUAUACACAUGUUGAAAUCGCAUCAAGGAAAAAUCUUGAAUCAAAUAAAAAUAUUAAUCAUAAUAGUACUUACCUGCCAUUGAUGAAAGCUCAAAAGAAAGUCUUCUACUCUCUGUAGGGUUCUUAUGUUCAACUAGCAAUACGAAGUAGUUGUUUUGAAAGUGUGUUUCUAAGAAAGCACGGUUCUCUUUAAAUCAGUUGGAAGCCAGUGGGUGGAGAACGUUCGAGAUUUCAAUUUUUUUUCCUUCAAACCUAAAGGGUGUAUCUAAUUCAUACUUUUAAUAACUUUUAUCGAGUUUAAAAGUUUAGAAGUAUUCAAUUUAAACUUUUAACGAGUUUAUAAAAGUCUAGUGGUAUUCAAUUGUGACUUCUUAAAAGUUUGACUGUAUCCAAUUAUGACUUUUAAAAAGUCUUAAAAUUUUUUUGGGGCUAUCCAAAAAGUUAAUGACUUUUAAAAAGUUGGGUUUUUAGGUCUAAUGGUCCCCGAAUUUUGACCCGAUUCGCAUUUUAGUCCCUUAAUUUCAAAAAACAUUCCCAUGGUCCUUCAACUUCAGUUUUUUUUAGGACAAAUGGUCAUGCCGUCAAUUUUGUUAACUAUUUCUGUUAAAUUGGGGGCAAAUUGAUAUUUUUGUAUUAAAACAAAAAAAAUGGUUUUUUUUAAAAAUCAAAAAUUAAAAAUAUAUAUAUAUCUCAAUCUCUCUCUCCCCUCCCUCCUUCUAUCCCAAUUUCUUCCCCCACAGCCACCCUCCACCCAGCGCCCCUCUUCGAUUUUUGUACAAAGGUCAAGGAAGAAUAGCAAACCUGGGUUGGAGAGGGGAGGGGGGAGGAGGAGGGGUUCUGGGUUCGUUGGGGGUUUAGGGUCCAGUGGUCAGGGGGGAAAAGAAAAUUGAAGGGGAAGGGGUGCUGGGUGAAGGGUGGCUGUGGGUUGCCCUCUUUGCUCUCUCUUUCUCUCAUCUGAAUCUUGAGUAUACAGGCAAGCUUCCUUGUUCCUGAUAGAAGGAGAGGGUAGAGAGAGAGAGAGAGAGAGAGAGAGAGAGAGAGAGAGAGAGAGAGAUUUAUUUUUAAUACAAAAAUACCAUUUUGCCCCUGUAUUUAACAGAAAAGAUAACAACAUUGACGACAGGACCAUUUGUCCUAACGAAACUGAAGUUCAAGAACCACAUGAACGAUUUUGAAAAUUGAAGGACCAAAAUGCUAAUCGGGUCAAAGUGUUUCAUAUACUUUUUAUGCAUAUUUACUGGUGACUUUCAUUAACUCUAUGAAAGUGUUUAAGAAUAUGUCAAUUCUAUCAAAGUUAUUCACUAAAUAAGUAUUUAUAAGAGCAUCUCCAAUAAUAGUAGCAUGUUUUUUUUUAACUUUUUAAAGUAAAAUUAAAUGUUUUGAAGAGCCAAAGUCAACAUAUCAGUCUUGAAGAGAGAGAAAGAGGUUGCAACUUUGAUGACUAAGUUUGACAAGUCUGUUGGAGAGAUUUUUUUCAAAAUCAAAUAAUGAAUAGGUAAGCUUCCUUUUUGCAAGCUUUAUCUCUUUUUGAUUAAUUAUGAGUUUGCAAUCUUAGUUGGGAUGCAUAUGCUAGAGUUUCUUCUAUCAUACGUGAUCGUUAGUGGAGGCUCACCAGAUUGUUUUAAUUUUGAUGUUAUAUCUCUCCAUUAUUGUAAUGGCCCUUUAUGACUAGUUUAUAUUGGCCCUUUGUGACUAUGACUUUUUUAAUUGAGUUAUGAAUGCAAUCCCUGAAAUUUGAAAAAAUAAUAAUAAUUAUAAAUCAUGAUGGAUAGUGUAGUCAAAAGGUACUUCGUGUGGAAAAAAUGUUUGACUUCUUUGGAUAUUCACAUGCACGUUUGAAAAUGUGAGAAAAUAAUCAAUCAAGCUCUCUCUUUUGGUUACAAUAGUAACAGUGGCGAAACCAGAAUUUUAUAUAUGUGAAGCAUCUCACAAAAUAUAAACAAUAAAAAAUUCGAACUCAAGACAUACCAAAACAUCAAAGAGAAAAGAAGAAGCAAUAACUAGAAGAACAAGAAGACCAAGAAGAAAUGGUAUGCUUGACUUCUUGUUGUACUUGUUGCCAACUUUGCUAAUCCCAACUGCUAAAAUAUGAAAACUAUAAGAGAAUAUUUGUUUGUGGGAAUUUUCUGUGUAUUCUUCUCCUUGUAGGAGGUCAUAUUUAUAAUACAACAAAACCUGAAUGGGCAAAUAAAUAAUAAAUUCCUAAAUCCAUUUACAGUAGGAAAUCAGGAAUUAAAGUAGAUCAAUUACAAUUAUAAUAGGAAUUCUUGGUGUGUAAGGAAAGUAAGUCAAUAUCCACAAGUCACGCCAACACUCCCCCUCACGUUGGUGCAUAGAUGUUGCCAAUGCCCAACUGAUCCAAUGAAUUGUGGAAUGCUUUACUGGAAAUUGCCUUUGUCAAAAUAUCCGCCAAUUGAUCCUCGGAUUUCACAAAAGGAAACUGAAACACUUUAGCCUCAAGCUUCUGUUUGAUGAAGUGUGGAUCCAUCUCAACAUGUUUAGUACGAUCAUGCUGAACCGGAUUCUGUGCAAUGGCUAUAGCAGCCUUGUUGUCACAAAAGAGAUUCAUUGUGGAUGUAGGUUUAUACCCAAGUUCAGUAAGCAACUUUCUUAACCAAAGAAGUUCACAAAUCCCUUUAGUCAUGCCUCUGAACUCAGCUUCUUCAUUGGAUAAAGCUACUACAUUCUGUUUCUUACUCCUCCAUGUCACCAAAUUACCUCCCACGAAUGAGAAGUAACCCGAUGUGGAUUUUCUAUCUGUUACAUUACCUGCCCAAUCUGCAUCUGAAUAACCAUCAAUAUUUAGAUGACCGUGCUUUGAGAACAUAAGUCCUUUUCCAGGUGCAGACUUCAAAUAUCUAAGUAUCCGAAGAACUGCAUUCAUGUGGUCUUCACUUGGAGAGUGCAUAAAUUGACUGACAACGCUCACCGCAUAAGCAAUGUUUGGUCGAGUAUGUGACAAAUAGAUCAAUCUUCCCACUAACCUUUGGUAUCUUUCUUUGUUAGUUGGAACUUGAUCCGGAUAUUCUCCAAGAUGAUGAUUCUGAACAAUAGGAGUGUUCGCAGGUUUGCAAUCUAGCAUUCCUGUGUCUGUCAACAAGUCCAAGACAUAUUUUCUUUGAGAGAGAAAUAUGCCUUGCUGCGAUCAAGCCACCUCAAUUCCCAUACUUGAGUCCACCUAGAUCCUUCAUCUCAAACUCAGUAGCCAAAUAGUCUUGUAGCUGUGAUAUUUUCUGUUUAUCAUUCCCAGUAAUAAUCAUAUCAUCAACAUAGGUUAUUAAUGCUGUUACCUUUCCUUUCCGAUGUUUGAAGAACAAAGUAUGAUCUGAGUUGCACUGUUUGAAACCAUUGUUCUUCAUUGCAUGGUGAACCGUCCAAACCAUGCACAUGGUGACUGUUUCAAUCCAUACAAUGAUUUUCGUAACCUGCAAACUGUUCCAGUCUGAGUAGUAUUAUAUCCAGGAGGAAUGUCCAUGUACACCUCCUCCGUGAGUUCGUCAUGUAGAAAAGCAUUCUUUACAUCAAACUGGUGUAGUGGCUAAUCCAAAUUAGCUGCAAGGGACAAUAAGACUCUGACGGUGUUUAACUUUGCAACUGGUGCAAAAGUUUCUUCAUAGUCUAUAUCAUAGGUCUGUAUGUACCCUUUUGGUACAAGUCUUACCUUGUAUCGCUCGAUAGAUCCAGCUGCAUUGUGUUUUAUAGUAAACAUCCAUCUACAUCCGAUAGUCUUUUUUCCUUGUGGUAUAGUCUCCAAUGUCCAAGUCUGAUUUUUCUCAAGAGCUUUCAUCUCCUCUUUUAUAGCUUGGACCCACUUAGGAUCUUUCAAUGCUUCAAAGACCUUGGUUGGAAUAUGGAUAGCAGACAACUGAUGCACAAAAGCCUUGAGUGGUUCAGACAGCUUCUCAGUGGAUACAUGAUUUGCAAUUGGAUACUUGGAUGUCUUGCCAAUAUCAAGUGAAUAACGGUUUGGUGGCUUUCCACGAUUUUGCCUGAAAGGUAAUUGAUAUCCAAUAGUUUUAUCCUCUAAAUGCACAAGUCUAGUAGGAGUAUUUACCUCAAAGAUAUUUUCAGGAGAUUGGUCCGUUGGUACUGUUGAAUGAGAGGGGGGUCUUCAUCUUGUUGUUCUGAGUUGUCUGUAGGAGUAUGACUCGAAUCAAAAACAGCUUCGCAAGGGUUAGGCGAUCGAUCGUUGUUUGGCAGAGAGCAUUCGCACAUGCUAGACUCGGGACGAUCUAUUGUUAUUGUUUCUUGGCCGAGAGCAAUCUUCGUGCAUAGAUGAAUAUCCUCAUUUUCCAAGCUGGUCCAAUUGAGCUCUUCACUCGGUUUCUCCCCCUAAAGAGUAUAAUUGGAUGCUGGGUCAUAGAAGAACAUAUCUGAUUCCAGAAAGGUGACAUCCAAAGUGACAUAGGUUCACCGGGUAGGAGGGUGAUAACAUUAGUAACUUUUCUGAUGAGUGGCAUAACCCAAAAAAACACAACGAAGCGCACAUGGAUCAAGUUUGCUUCGUUGAUUUUUGUGGAGAUGAACGAAGGCCACACAGCCAAAAAUGCGAGGGGUAAGCACCAAAACAGAGGGCAGAGGCCCGUGUUGUGCGAGCACUUGUAAUGGAGUUUUGAAGUUCAAGACCCCAGAUGGCAUACGGUUGAUAAGGUGGACAGUAGUGACGACAGCAUCAUCCCAGUGAUGAUGAGGAACAUGGCCACCAAUGAGAAGAGCACGGGCUGUUUCAAGGAGAUGACGAUUCUUCUGUUCGGCAACACCAUUUUGUUGUGGUGUCUGGGGGCAAGUUGUCUCAUGAAUAAUGCCAUGUGUCUGGAAGUAAGUCUGAAAAUCAUGAUUAACAAAUUCUCCGCCGUUGUCAGAGCGAAGAAUCUGUAUUCGAGCAUUGAACUGUGUUUCCAUCUAUUUGUGAAAGGAUUGGAACAGGGAAAACACUUCAUUCUUAUUUUUCAUCAAAUAAAGCCAUGUCCCGUGUACAAUCAUCUACGAAUGUGACAAACCAACGAAUACCGGAAUGAGUAGAAAUAGGUGAGGGUCCCCAAACAUGAGAAUGAAUUAAAGCAAAAGGAAUAGUACUUUUAUUCAUACUUAAAGGAUAGGAUGCUCUAUGACUCUUGGCUAGAAUGCAAGUGUCACAUUUAAAAUCUGAGUCCUUAAAUACAGAAAACAACUCUGGCAAUAAGUGUCUCAUAUAACUAAAAGAGGGAUGCCCCAAACAUCGGUGCCAGAGCCAAAUUUGUCGGUGCUUGUCAUUAGAUGGAUGCUUCACACUAUUGGCAUGUCCCAUACUGAAGUCAUCCACAUAGUACAACCCUCUUCUUUUAGUACUACGCCCAAUGAUCUCCUUGGCGAGAAUAUCCUGUAGUAAACGAAAAUUGGGAUAAAUUAGUACACAACAAUUUAGUUGUUCAGUUGCCUGACUCACAGACAUUAAUUUAUUGGACAAAGAUGGAACGAGUAAAGUUUUAGAAAAGGACAGAGAAGGUGAAAGGGCAACAGGAUAGGUAACUCCAUUUGCAUUGGCAAUACUUGUGCGGCGGGGUGUAGUGGUGUGCAAAAAAUCAUUCGGAUCAAAGGUCAUAUGAUCAGUGGCGCCAGAAUCAAUUAUCCAACCAGUAGUAUCUCGUAGAUCAGAAGUAUGAAAUGCAUAACCAAAGUUACCUGAGACAUCCAGAAGCACGAGACUAUCAGUAGGAUCUACCUGCGGGAACAAGGCUAAUGGGGGUUCGGUAGAGACAAGAGUAGCACGGCCGGAAUUACUAGCAGUUUAUCUGAGCUUGCGAGCGCGGAGGUCCUCCCACAAAUCUGGAUAACCAUUCAGCUUAAAACAGGUGUCACGGGUAUGUUUGGGUUGCCACAGUGCGUGCAACCACUUCCAUCAGUCGGAGCCUUGGGACGGGAAGGUGGGAUGGUUUUAGGAAGUGUUACACCAGCAGUAGUAGCAUAUGAUUGAAUCUGAAGGUGGGCUGCAAUAGAGGAAUUAUGGGGCUGUCCGGCACGAGUAGGGGGACCUGAUCGAGGCGCACUCUUGGCCGCUAAGCCAGCGCCAGUGGGUGCAGAUGCACCCAUCAUCACUGCUUGUCGAACAUCUUCACGGUGAACAUAAGCAUAAGCUUGGUCCACAGUAGGGAAUGGAGUCAUGUGAAGAACAUCACUUUGGGCCUUAUCAAGACGAUUAUUAAGGCCAUCCAAAAAUAUGUAAACUCGAUCUUCCUGCAGAAUAUCAUUAUAGCGCUUGAUAUCACUUUCAUACUCCAUUAUAUUUGGACGACGGAAAUCAAUUUCUCUCCAUAAGCUUUGGAGAGUAUUGUAAUAGGUUUCAAUGGAGCCACCAACUUGUCGCAUACGAGAGACUUGUCGUUUCAGAUCAUAAACCUGAGAGGUGUCAGUGCCAUCAUAGUAAGUUGUGGCAAUUGCAUCCCACACUGCUUUUGCCGUCGAAAAAUGAAUGAAAUUGCCAAUCAAGCUCUGCUCCAGAGAAUUGAUGAGCCAUCUCUUCACAAUAGAGUUCUCGAUGCGCCAGCGAGGAAACGUUGGAGCGGUCGAAUGAGGUUGUGGAAGAUCGCCAUUAAUAUAUCCCAAUUUAUCUUUGCCGGAGAUAUACAACUCUACAACUUGGGACCAUAGGGCAUAGUUGGUGCCAUCCAACUUUAUGCCAAUCUGUGUAGCGGAAGCUUCAUAGGUAAUUGUCGUCAGAAUCGUUGUCUGAUUUGAGUUCAAGGUCGUCGUCUGAUUCGAGUUCGGGGUCGUCGUCUGAGUCGAGGUCGGGGUUGUCUUGGUAGGAUCCUGAUUUAGGAUCAAUUUUGAGGUCUGAGUCUGCAUCUGCAUUAGUUGAGCCACCUGGGCACUCAACUCGGCUAUGGUUGGUUGAGAAGGAGAAGAGGAAGCAGUGGUGCUACCGCCAUGAGGAUUAGAAGAGUCAUCCUCCCCCAUGGUGGCGGCUAGGGUUUAGAAACUAGAGUCAGCCAUCCCAAGAUCGCCGCUCUGAUACCAUGCUAAAAUAUGAAAAUUAUGAGAGAAUAUUUGUUUGUGGGAAUUUUCUGUGUAUUCUUCUCCUUAUAGGAGGUUAUAUUUAUAAUACAACAAAACCUGAAUGGGCAAGUAAAUAAUAAAUUCCUAAAUCCAUUUACAGUAGAAAAUCAGGAAUUAAAGUAAAUCAAUUACAAUUAUAAUAGGAAUUCUUGGUGUGUAAGGAAAGUAAGUCAAUAUUCACAAGUCACACCAACACCAACACGCUCGCCUUUGUUUGCAUAAAAUGUAUUGCCACAAAUGUUGUGGUUUCGACCCCUCCUUGGUUGAUGAACAUCAACACCACCUCCACCUUUUUCGUUGUAAGCAUCGUGAAUCCCAAUAUCCGUGCUUUCAAUUGCGAAGAAAUCAUUCUCAUUAAUGUUGAAGGUCUCGUUGCCUUCAUCAGUAUUUUCUGCCUCAUUAUUUUUGUUACCAUGCCGGUAUUGUAUAUGUAUGAAAUAUUUCUUAGAAUGAACAAGAAUUCUUUGUAGAGAUUUGUAACUUUCUUGUUUUGUUUAUGGUACUGGAAAUGACUUUCUGUUUUUAGGUAUAUCUCUCAAUCUCUCUCUCCCCUCCCUCCCUCUAUCCUGAUUUCUUCCCCCACAGCCACCCUCCACCCAGCGUCCCUCUUCGAUUUUUGUACAAAGGUCAAGGAAGAAUAGCAAACCUGGGUUGGAGGGGGGUGGGGGGAGGAGGAGGGGUUCUGGGUUCGUUGGGGGUUUGGAGUCCAGUGGUCAUGGGGGAAAAGAAAAUUGAAGGAGAAGGGGUGCUGGGUGAAGGGUGGCUGUGGGUUGCCCUCUUUGCUCUCUCUUCCUCUCAUCUGAAUCUUGAGUAUACAGGUAAGCUUCCUUGUUCCUGAUAGAGGGAGAGGGUAGAAAGAGAGAGAGAGAGAGAGAGAGAGAGAGAGAGAGAGAGAGAGAGAGAGAGAUUUAUUUUUAAUACAAAAAUACCAUUUUUCCCCUGUAUUUAACAGAAAAGAUAACAACAUUGACAACAGGACCAUUUGUCCUUGUCCUAACGAAAUUGAAGUUCAAGAACCACAUGAACGAUUUUGGAAAUUGAGGGACCAAAAUGCUAAUCGGGUCAAAGUGUUUCAUAUACUUUUUAUGCAUAUUUGCUGGUGACUUUCAUCAACUCUAUGAAAGUGUUUAAGAAUAUGUCAAUUCUAUCAAAGUUAUUCACUAAAUAAGUAUUUAUAAGAGCAUCUCCAAUAAUAGUAGCAUGUUUUUUUUUAACUUUUUAAAGUAAAAUUAAAUGUUUUGAAGAGCUAAAGUCAACAUAUCAUUCUUGAAGAGAGAGAAAGAGGUUGCAACUUUGAUGACUAAGUUUGACAAGUCUGUUGGAGAGAUUUUUUCAAAAUCAAAUAAUGAACAGGUAAGCUUCCUUUUUUCAAGCUUUAUCUCUUUUUGAUUAAUUAUGAGUUUGCAAUCUUAGUUGGGAUGUCUAUGCUAGAGUUUCUUCGAUCAUGCGUGAUUGUUAGUGGAGGCUCACCAGAUUAUUUUAAUUUUGAUGUUAUAUCUCUCUAUUAUUGUAAUAGCCCUUUAUGACUAGUUUGUAUUGGCCCUUUGUGACUAUGGCCUUUUUAAUUGAAUUAUGAAUGCAAUCCCAGAAAUUUGAAAUAAUAAUAAUAAUUAUAAAUCAUGAUGGAUAGUGUAGUCAAAAGGUACUUCGUGUGGAAAAAAUGUUUGACUUCUUUGGAUUCACAUGCACGUUUGAAAAUGUGGGAAAAUAAUCAAUCAAGCUCUCUCUUUCGGUUACAGUAGUAACAAUGGCGAAGCUAGAAUUUUAUGUAUGUGGAGCAUCUCACAAAAUAUAAACAAUAAAAAAUUCGAACCCAAGACAUACCAAAACAUCAAAGAGAAAAGAAGAAGCAAUAACUAGAAGAACAAGAAGACCAAGAAGAAAUGGUAUGCUUGACUUCUUGUUGUACUUGUUGCCAACUUUGCUAAUCCCAACACGCUCGCCUUUGUUUGCAUAAAAUGUAUUGCCACAAAUGUUGUGGUUUCGACCCCUCCUUGGUUGAUGAACAUCAACACCACCUCCACCUUCUUUGUUGUAAGCAUCGUGAAUCCUAAUAUUCGUACUUUUAAUUGCGAAGAAAUCAUUCUCAUUAAUGUUGAAGGUCUCGUUGCUUUCAUCAAUAUUUUCUGCCUCAUUAUUUUUGCUUUGCUGCUCCUUCUCUUUGGGGCUCUUGUCCAGAAAGCGUUCUAGGGCGACCAGAAAAGAUGUUUCUUAUCCUCUCUUGGAGGCUCUGAUUCAGUUGUUCAGCUUCAGAUUGAGAUCGAGACCCAUCUUAUGUAUGUGCAAAGAUAAAAAAGGAAAGAUCUUCAAAUAAGUGGAGGCAAAUACUCCAAAAUCAAUUGGAAGACAAUCUUUCAAUAACUGGAAGUUUCUAUUGUAAACUAAUUACAUAAAUUCCUUAAACCUUAUACACACAUAGAAUCACAUCAAGGAAAAGAUCUUGAAUCAAAUAAAAUUUCCUACUCUCUCCGAUUUUAUCCCCGUAAUAUAUUAUUCCCAACGAUGUUGAAGUCAUUGCCUCUUCCGCCCUUGUCUUUUUCUUUUGGGGUUGGAGAGUUUUGGUGCUCAAGGAAAAGAGAAGUUCACAUUAAUUAUAUAAUAAAUUAUAAUUAGUGCUUGUAAUUAUCAAUUAUCAAGCUAAUUGAUUACGUUGAGAUUAUAAUUAUCUUGCAAUUAUCAAAAGAGGACGACCCUCUUGUCCUAAUCAAAGAGGGACCGGACAGACUUUUUAAAGUGGCCAUGCUUGUGGAAAAAUUAUACAAUACAUUGUACAUGUUGUAAAGAAGAAUAAGUAAAGAAGAAUAGGUGAAGCCCACAUAGCCAACUAACACCCACCAACCUAACCACACACCCACCAAACCAAACCACUACCCAAUUGAUUGAAGAAUAUUAAUGAUGUUGUUGAUUGAAGAAUAUUAAUGAUGUUGUUGAUUGAAGAAUAUUAAUGAUGUUGUCUACCAAUUAUAUUGUGAGGUGAACAACCAAUGUCUUAGGCCUAUAAAUAGAUACCUCUAUCAAGAGAAGUUUACACAUAUAGAAGAGGAAGAGAAGGAAGAAUGAGGGUGAGUGAGUUGAGAGGAAAGAGAGCAAGAGAGAAAUUCUCCAAGAGAGAAAAUUGAGUGAGCCAUACAUAUUGUAAACACAAAGUUGUAGCCCUAUUAUUUUACAUAGUGGAAAAGUUACUGCUGCUGCUUUCCGGGGAUGUAGGCAUAGCCGAACCUCGUUAAAUACUGUGUCUCAUCUACUUUACGUACAGCUCAAUAUUCGCACAUAUACCAGUUCAUUUUAUAACACGUUAUCAGCACGAGAAGCUCUCAGGUAUAAUUUUUGUGUUGCACUAUUAUCUAUACUACUAACCCUUAUGUUGAUGUAAGGAAGAAAAGUAGUGGAGGAGCUGUGGUCUGCAAGAGAGAUAUACGAGCAAACCAACUGUGUGCAGAUUACAGGUGGAAAGCAUUUGAUUUAAGAGACAAGCAUGAUGCCUUCCACAAACGAUAAUAAUAUUAUCUGCUAUACUAUUUGAUCGUGGUGUUGAUGAGAACCCACCAAUAAUUGCCUUUACUUUACCGUAAAUUUACUUUUACUUAAAGUAAUAUAAUAUAUUAUAUUUACUGUAUGGUGUAGGUUUAUUACUCAUACAACAGUAUUUAUUUAAAAGGGUGGUGCGGGUUUAUCGUACACGCCUUUACUUCUAUUUAAAUGUAUGGGGCAGAAUUAGUGCCCGUAUAAGCACCAUUUACUUUACCGCACAUUUAAUUUUAUUUAAAGUAUGGUGCGGGAUUAACGUCCAUACAGCAAGCAAUUUAAUUUAUGAAUUUAAUUUACCUCAUAUUUACAUUUAUUUAAAAGGGUGGUGCGGGUUUAUCGUCCACGCCUUUACUUUUAUUUAAAUGUAUGGAGCAGAAUUAAUGCCCAUACAAGUACCUUAACUUUAUGAAUUUAAUUUACCGCACAUUUACAUUUAUUUAAAGUGUGGUGCGGGUUUUAUCGUCCAUACCAAUAAUUUAUUUACCAGCAAUUUAUUUUAUGGAUUAAAUGUGCUGUAUGAUGAGUUUUUACAGUAUGCAGAUCAGGACCAGAAGUUCCUUGAUCCUCAUCAUACAAUUACAUCAGGACUUGAAGAUCCUUGAUGAUGAUGUUAAUAUAAGAGCUGGCAGUCUCUCCGGUACUAUAUUUGUAAACAUGUGAUUGGACUUGAGGGUCCUUGAUCCCUGACAUGUAAAUUAGGACCUGGGGUUCCUUAAUGAUGUAACAGUACCGUAUUGGUUCAUAAUGCCGUACACAUGGAUGAUAACUGUACCGGCAAAUAUACUGUACACAUGAAUAGAUACGUAUUCAUGGCUUGAUGAAUAGUACCGGAUAUAUGAAUAGUGACGUAUACAUAAAUAUUAAUCAUUUUGGGUUAACCAUCACUAUUCAAAAAGGGAACCUGCAGUUCCUUAAACUCAUGGAUGAGCAAUUAAAUGAGAUGCCAGAAGUUCCUCAAGAUAUGGACAAUUAUGUAAGGGCUUGAAGUCUAGAAAUAUGUACAGAAAAUUGUAAAAAUGUCCAUACCAUGAGAACAUGUGAUUUUGGCUUGAGGUUCAAAAUCUAACAGUGUUGAGAACCUGAAGUUCCAACAAUUAAAUGGACAACCCUUGAGGUAUUAUUGCAAAUUGUGGUACGCCACAUAUUUCUUUGGCAUAAGAGAAUGAUGAAUUGAGGCUCCCCUCACAUUUUGUUAUAUCUGGGCCGGAAGCUCAUGAACCCAAAUAUAUGAGAUAUUAGCAUGGCUUUUACUCCAUUCAUAUUUCAUGUCCAUUUGAAAAGGGCGAAUAAAUUCUGAGUUUGUGUUUAGCCCAGGCCAAAAGUUUCAUACAUUGAAAUAUGAAAUUUGGGAGAGUCGAUGUGGUUAUUUGAACCUAUAAGGCACAAGGUUCCAAACCGUCAUUUUAAAAAGACGUAAAAAAAAAAAAAAACCACAAGUGCAAGUUUAAGAAUGUGCGCAAUUAUUAUAAUAUGAAAGGAACAUACAACAGAUAGAUUUUUCCACCUGCAAUGAAGGUGCAGGCCCUGUAAAAUCUAUAAAAAUACAUUAUGUUCUGGAAGCCUCUGAAGGAAGAGGACGACGCCUCUUAAGCUUAGCCAUGAGCCUCUCGUGGUCUCCCAAAAUUCUUUCAUUGGAGACCUGCAGCAUGUCUAGCCUUCUCAGUGUAUCAACAGAGUACGAACUCACCAGUUUCAACAAGGCAUUAUUCUCUCCUUUAAGUUUCUCAACCUCCUGUUGAGACUCAUGAAGCAUUCUUUGGAGAGACGAAUUUUCAGUUGUUAACCUCUCAACCUCGUUUGCUCUGGCACGCAAACGAUCAGCCAUGUUAGAAAUAGAAGCAGCACUCUGAAUGCUAAAAGCCAUUGAGUCAUCAAUAGCCUCUUCCUCACACCUCCCUGUUAACAGCAUUUCAUCCAUUGGAGUAAUGAAAUUCCUAGCUACUAUGACAGCAGUAGCAUCAUUCAUCAUCACAGAAUCAUUAACUGUGAGAUGACGAUUUUGGGAUACAAAGGAUGGACGCCAAACUUGGGCGUCACUGGUUGUUGUGGGAGUAUCAUUUAAAUUGAGAUAAUUUGGGCAGGAAGAAGAGGAAGCCAUUUUUAAGAAGGUUUCGAAGAAAGUCUUAGGAAAACUAAAGUUUCAGAAAAUGAAGGAAGUUGAGUUGAAACGCAGUUGCUCCAAUCAAGUUUUGCAAAGGCAAUAUCUAUAGGAGGAAAUAUGACUACAGUUUCCAGGAUCCCAAUAUUAUCUCAGAUCCCCAUAUUAUCUUUUUCUUUCCCAGAUUCUAAAACUUCACGUGGCCUCCAUUAAUGUUUGUCGGCACUUUCGGCGUUUUCAAAGUAUUAUUUUCGUCAAAAGCCGAUCUUGCUUUACGGAUUUCAUGGAGCUACUUUUUCAAAAGUAUCCCGAGAAUCUCGCAAUUUUCCUAUGGUUAAUUUGAAAUUCACCGGUUCUACCUAUUCCUCUUAUUUGUGUAUAAAUGUGUUACUAACGAAAUUUUCUUUGCAGAAGACAUCCAGUUUUCUCCAUACCUAGUGAUGCGAUAUCUACUUAUUUUUCUUAUCAGUGAGCACUUAAUAUGCCCGAGAAGCAAGACUAUCUCUGAUCAUCCAUUCAGGAAGCGAGACUAUCCCUGAUCACGUUUCCGCCACAUCAGGGAACUGUGAAGGCGACCUUAUGCUCUAAUCUCCGGAAGUUCUUCUAGACUAGGAGAAAUGAGAGCUGGUUGUUUGCUCCCACCAGCUUCCUUCCUUGAUUGCUGAGCUUGUUGUCUGCUCCCACCAGCUUUCUUCCUUGAUUGCUUACCUUCUCUUGCAAUCAAUAUCACAUUAUUUUUGCAUUUUUUCUCUUUUUGUAACUCUCUGAGGAUUAUUUAUUUUUGACAGAGAAAAGAGUUGUGAUUUUGCUCUUGCAGGAUAUAACUAGAUCAUCAAGCGCUACAUUUACUGGGCCGAUACAAGCUUGAAUGAUACUUGAGAAAAGUUUCUCCCACCUAAGGACGUAAGCAAUACUUGUGUUAUUUUAUGCUUAUAUACUUAUUUGAUAUUUUUUCCGUUCCAAAAGAAUGGCUUGUAUGUAUCCACGAAUUAUUAAUGCAAAUUUUACAGAUUGCAAGUUGGAUACAUUGAUAAUACACUGCACAGAUUAAAGUCCCAUAAGAACAGAAUAUGGGUAUAGCAGUGAUCAAUAUGAUGCACGCUUGUUGCGUAGCAAAUGAUGUGGAUUGAAGUCCCGAAAGGACAAUCCUUUGACAUGUCAAUAUUGAUAUUAUGCACGCCUAAUGCGUAGCAAAUUAUAUGGGUUAAAGUCCCAUAAUAUGGGUUAAGGUCCCAGAAAUUAAUUGACAUGUAUGUAUUAAUCUGUGACAUGCCUUCAGCAUGACAGAUAUAUGGGUUCUAAAUGUUCCAACUCCCUAAAUGGAGAUUAUCCACGCCCUACUGCUAAAUAACGCUCCAAUGGAGGUUAUAGUCCACAUUCUCACAUAAUAAAAGCCCCAUGAAGUGGCUUGGGUACCCAAAGGCAAAUAAAUUCUUAUAAUUGAUGCAUGCGCAUGCAAAUGAGAAUGGUGGGAUCAUGAAUUGAUGAAUGACAAUUUUUGAUCAUGAAUUGAUGAAUGACAAUUUUUGGUUUUGGAGUAGCUACUCAAAUCAUCAAUGGGCUGUGUUGAUUGGAACCACGUUCAAUUAUUAAAUGUCGACAAUAUUAUUGGCCAAAAUGGAAUGAGGUAAUUCCAUUAUAGAUGAGAAUGAACGUGAAAGAACAAACCCACAGUACGAACCCCAAAAGAUGUUAAUACUGAAAUUUAUACUUGGGUGUUCGGAAUAAAAGGGAAUAUACCUACUUUGUAUGACACACUGUUUCUGGCAGAAACAAGGAAUGUUGGGUUUUCUCCAUAUUUACAGAUUCAAUUGUGCCCCCUCUUAUUACACAAUUACGGAGACCAACAUAUUAUCUUUAAGGGUUAUUAAAUGCACGGAGCAUAUCGCCAGAAGCGAUUUCUUAAAGAUAUAUAAAUAGCUGGGUAAAAGCUAUAUAAUGUGUCAUAAAGUUUAAACCCUUUUUAGACAAAAUCCGUUGAGAGGAUUGACAUUGCAUAAAGCAAGUCCCUAAAGGACAUGUGCUUGAAGCACAAAAUUUGUACUCAAUAUUAAUAUGCAUAAAUUACCUCAGUGAGUACAUUGAUUAUAAUAUGAUUGCAACACAUUAAAGCUUCUGCAGAGUUCAAGAAAUAUUUGUCUCGACUUAAGGAUCGAGCAUUAUGCCAACGAGAUUCUUGCUUAUACUAAGAAAGUAUUGAAGCAUUUUUAUGAGGAUUAUCCGUUGGACACUUUAAUGAUUUUCCGGAAGUAUAUUGGACCGGACAUCAUAUUUUCCAGAUAGGGCUCAACUCCAUCACCAUCAUUUUGGGAUGAUGUGAGGUAUAUUUGAUGCUAUCUCCGCAUAACACCAUGUACGGGCAUAUUAUUUUAAGUGAACUUACAAAUAGCCCAAGUUUUGUUAGAAACGCGGACUCUGAAAAUUUCUAUGAUUUACAUAGAGAUAGCUCACUGGAAAUAUAUUUACUUACUCAACUACGAGAAUUAUUAAUGGCUAUAUCAUCCACUCACUCCGAAAGAUUCUCACUCCAAAAGAUAGUCAUGAAGACAUCAGGGGGAGAUAUUAAUCAGGGGGAGCAUCCAGAAGUAUGCUAUACAGAUUGCUGUACUCUUUUUUUCUUCCUUCCAUCAGUUUUCUACCUCACUGGGUUUUUCUCCAAGCAAGGUUUUAAUGAGGCAACCAAUCUAGGGACAUGUGGUCUUCAAGGGGGAGUGUUGUAAAGAAGAAUAAGUAAAGAAGAAUAGGUGAAGCCCACAUAGCCAACUAACACCCACCAAACCUAACCACACACCCACCAAACCAAACCACUACCCAAUUGAUUGAAGAAUAUUAAUGAUGUUGUUGAUUGAAGAAUAUUAAUGAUGUUGUCUACCAAUUAUAUUGUGAGGUGAACAACCAAUGUCUUAGGCCUAUAAAUAGAUACCUCUAUCAAGAGAAGUUUACACAUAUAGAAGAGGAAGAGAAGGAAGAAUGAGGGUGAGUGAGUUAAGAGGAAAGAGAGCAAGAGAGAAAUUCUCCAAGAGAGAAAAUUGAGUGAGCCAUACAUAUUGUAAACACAAAGUUGUAGCCCUAUUAUUUUACAUAGUGGAAAAGUUACUGCUGCUGCUCUCCGGGGAUGUAGGCAUAGCCGAACCUCGUUAAAUACUGUGUCUCAUCUACUUUACGUGCAGCUCAAUAUUCGCACAUAUACCAGUUCAUUUUAUAACAGUACAUCAAAUUUGAAAAGCAGCAAUUUGAAUAAUCACCAGUGUUGACCAGGGCCGUCCCUUGGCCAGGGCAACUAGGUCAUCGCCCGGGGCCCACAAUUGAGAGGGGCAUAAAUAUGACGUUUUAAUAUGGUUUAGGUCAAUUACCACGCGGGUAUUGUAUUUGUAUGAGAUAUUUCUAAGAGUGAACAAGAAUUCUUUGUAGAGAUUUGUAACUUUCUUGUUUUGUUUAUGGUACUGGAAAUGACUUUCUGUUUUUAGGUAUUUUAGCUGCACUGCAUUCAUAUGGAAAUAUAUAUAUGAUUUAUCUACAUUUCAAGAUAUCAAUCAUUAAUGUAACCAAAAAUCAUCUGAUGACUACAAUUUGUGGCUUAUCCACUUUCCUUCAUUGGGGUUUCUAUUCAAGCAAUGCUGGUAGUAAGGUCACAUGCCAACAAGUUCAUGAACAAAAUUAGAACAGGUCAUUUGCCUUGGAAAGCAAGACUCCAACACACAACUUCCGUCUCCGAUUGUCUUAGACGAAUUAAUGAUAUGGUUGAAUUUUCUCUCUUUUUGGUUUUGCUUACGCUCACUCCUGAUAUACUUUAGUGGCUAUGAAAGAAAAAAGCUAGAACAAGAAGAAAUAAUACUUAUGGCAUGUACACAAGAAGAAAAAAGAAAUAAUACUUACUCAGCAUAUAUCAAUAUACUUAUGGCAUGUAGAAGAAUACUUACUCAGCAUAUAUCAAUAUACUUAUGGCAUGUAGAAGAUGAAGAAAUACAUAAAUAUAUAUAAGAGAAAUAAGAUUCAAAUUCAGAGAAAGGAACGCAAAGAAAAGUUUGAGUAUAGGAGCUCUAGUGGCCAUACAUCUCCAAACCCUUCCGCUACAUAAUAGUACGGGAAACUCCAACCGAAUCUUUCUUUCUCAAUUAUUGAUUUUUCUCUUCUUUUUCUUCUUGGUCGUGCCUUCUUUUCAGUCAAGCCGCUUGCUUCAUUUUUUUGCUUUGCUUACUCACCGUAAAAUAAAACAUAAAGCUAGAACAACAAAAACAACAAGAACAAGAAGACCAAGAAAAAAUGGUACGGUCGAGUUGUUGUACUCGUUGCCAACCGUAAUCCCAACACCUGCGCUUUUAAUUGCGGAGAUAUUAUUAUUACUAAUAUUGUUGGUCUUGUUGCUUCCAUCAGUAUUUUUUACCUCGCAAUUUUCAUUUUGCUGGGGCUCUUGUUCAGUUAUUUCUCUUUGGGGAUCUUGUUCAGAAAGCGUUCUAGGGUGACCAGGAAAGCGGUUUCUUACCCUCCCUUCGGGGUUUUGGUUCAGUUGUUCAGCUUUAGAUUGAGAUCGAGACCCAUCUUACAUAUAUGCAAAGAUCAAAAUGGAAAGAUAUUCAAAUAAGUGGAGGCAAAUACUCCAAUUAGAUGGAAGACAAUCUUUCAAUAAAUGGAAGCUACUAUUGUAAACUAAUUACAUAAAUUCCUUAAACCCUAUACACACGUAGAAAUCGCAUCAAGGAAAGAUCUUGAAUCAAAUAAAAAUAUUAAUCAUAAUAGUACAUGUUGGCGAGUCCUUACUUAGUUAGAAUUUUGGUUCCUUAUUUCAUUAGAAUUUUGGUUACUUACCAAUUAUAUUUUGUCCUAUUGUAAUAGAGAUUAUUUUAUUUAGUGUUAUGGGGGUUGAUGAUUUUUUCAACCUUCAUGGAGGUAGCACCACCGACUCAUUCUCUCAUUCUCCACCAACCAUCGUUGAGUUGAGUGCCCAGAUGGCUCCGCUCCUACAGAUGCAGACUUUGACCCCGAACCCGAUCCAAAAUCAGGAUCCUCUUUUGACGACCCCGACCCCGACCCCGACUAUGAUGACGACCACCCAGACCCCGACCCCGACUAUGACGACGACGACCCCGACCCCGACCCCGAAGACGACCCCGACCCCGACCCCGACUCCGAAGACGACCCCGACCCCCACUCCGAUGAUGACCCCAACCCCGAAUUUGUCUCUGAUUCAGACCCUGAUCCCGAUUUCAACUCUGACUCCGGCCUCGACUCAGGCUCAUAUUCCGAUCCCAAUUCCUACUCAACUGUAUCCUAUGCAUCUUCCGUUGCACAGAUUAUGACUUCUCGACUAACGACCCCGACACAUGGACCAGAUUGCGCAUUUUGUGAAAUCCGAGGAUCAAUUGGCGGAUAUUUUGACAAAUGCGAUUUCCAGUAAAGCAUUCCACAAUUCACUAGAUCAGUUGAGCAUUGGCGACAUCUAUGCACCAACUGAGGGGGAGUGUUGGCGUGACUUGUGGAUAUUGACUUACUUUCCUUACACACCAAGAAUUCCUAUUAUAAUUGUAAUUGAUUUACUUUAAUUUCUGAUUUCCUACUGCAAAUAGAUUUAGGAAUUUAUUAUUUACUUGCCUAUUUAGGUUUUGUUGUAUUAUAAAUAUGACCUCCUACAAGGAGAAGAAUACACAGAAAAUUCCCACAAACAAAUAUUCUCUCAUAGUUUUAAUAUUUUAGCAUGGUAUCAGAGCCUGGUUCGAUCUAGGGACCUGUGCUUGUGUUCUUCUUGAAGUUUAAGUGCUCUUCUCCCCCCUUGAGUUGGGGGGGGGGGGGGGGGGUGGGGAUAUGUUUAUUGACCUAUCCCAAUUACCUUGACAUAUUUCCAUGAAGAUGUUGCUUAUUUCUUUGACUCCGACGACCCCUUCUCUUCAAGGGGAGAGGAAGAUUGAAGAGAAGUUGUGUCUGAGUGAAUUAGCUAAAGUUUAUAUGGAAGAAUUUAUUGUUGCCAUUGUCUCUACUGCCGUGCUCAUGGGGUUUCGGUGUUCUGCCUUACCUAUUGCCGUGCUCACAGGGUUUCUGUGUUCUGCCUUACCAAUUGCUGUGCUCACACAGUUUCUGUGUUCUGCCUUACCUACUGCCGUGCUCACAGGGUUUCUGUGUUCUGCCUUAUCUACAGCCGUGCUCACAGGAUUUCUGUGUUUUGCUAUGUGCCCUAUUUUUUAGGGUUUGCUCUUGUGUUUCCGCUGUGAACUUUGUUUUAAUUUGUCACUUGUUUCACUCGUGGUUGACUAAAAGAUCUUCUCUACAAUUGUUACUUCUCAAGUAUGGUGUUCUGUGACUCACUUGUCAAGUUGAGCGUGCGAAAUAUCUUUGCCCAACUUGAGGGGGAGUGUUGGCGAGUCCUUACUUAGUUAGAAUUUUGGUUCCUUAUUUCAUUAGAAUUUUGGUUACUUACCAAUUAUAUUUUGUCCUAUUGUAAUAGAGAUUAUUUUAUUUAGUGUUAUGGGGGUUGAUGAUUUUUUCAACCUUCAUGGAGGUAGCACCACCGACUCAUUCUCUCAUUCUCCACCAACCAUCGUUGAGUUGAGUGCCCAGAUGGCUCCGCUCCUACAGAUGCAGACUUUGACCCCGAACCCGAUCCAAAAUCAGGAUCCUCUUUUGACGACCCCGACCCCGACCCCGACUAUGAUGACGACCACCCAGACCCCGACCCCGACUAUGACGACGACGACCCCGACCCCGACCCCGAAGACGACCUCGACCCCGACCCCGACUCCGAAGACGACCCCGACCCCCACUCCGAUGAUGACCCCAACCCCGAAUUUGUCUCUGAUUCAGACCCUGAUCCCGAUUUCAACUCUGACUCCGGCCUCGACUCAGGCUCAUAUUCCGAUCCCAAUUCCUACUCAACUGUAUCCUAUGCAUCUUCCGUUGCACAGAUUAUGACUUCUCGACUAACGACCCCGACACAUGACUUCUCGACUAACGACCCCGACACAUGGACCAGAUUGCGCAUUUUGUGAAAUCCGAGGAUCAAUUGGCGGAUAUUUUGACAAAUGCGAUUUCCAGUAAAGCAUUCCACAAUUCACUAGAUCAGUUGGGCAUUGGCGACAUCUAUGCACCAACUGAGGGGGAGUGUUGGCGUGACUUGUGGAUAUUGACUUACUUUCCUUACACACCAAGAAUUCCUAUUAUAAUUGUAAUUGAUUUACUUUAAUUUCUGAUUUCCUACUGCAAAUAGAUUUAGGAAUUUAUUAUUUACUUGCCUAUUUAGGUUUUGUUGUAUUAUAAAUAUGACCUCCUACAAGGAGAAGAAUACACAGAAAAUUCCCACAAACAAAUAUUCUCUCAUAGUUUUAAUAUUUUAGCAGUACAUACCUGCCAUUGAUGAAAGCUCAAAAGAAAGUCUUCUACUCUCUGUAGAGUUCUUAUGUUCAAAUAGCAAGAGGGACUAGAUGUUUUGAACGUGUUUGUUUCUAAGAGAGCAUGGGCAUGGACCACCUCUUGAAAAUGGAAUAAGUUACUAUUAUAUACAUGGAUUUAUUUAUUACUCUUAUAUCUGCAAUAUUCUUAAUGAUCAACUUGGAAAAGUCUUCCCACCAAAAAAAAAAAAAAAAAUGGAAAAGUCUUGUGAAAAAGGACUUAAUUUGUGUGUGUGUAUAUAAUAAAAAUAAAAUAAAAUAAAAUAAUUAGAAAUUAAAAUCCAAAAAGAAAUUAAGCAAAAUCAAACUUAGGCAAACCAAAACAAUCCUAAAGAUACCAAUGGAAAGAAGCUUCAAAUAAGUUGAUUUUUAAAGUUAAUGUCUGUUAUAUAUCUGCAAUAAUCAUGGGGCAUUCUAAAAGACUCUAUUAUCAAAGAAAUCCUAGCCUCCCCUCUGUCAAAAAAAAGCCAUUUUCACUUUUAGGAGGGAGAAAGUCACAGUUCUUCCUUCCCUCCCCCAUCUUCUUUUCCUCCCUUCUAUUCUUUUUCUAUUUUCAAAGACAGAAAGUUUUCUACAUUUCUCUUAGUUUUGUUAUAAUUUUCUUAAUAGAUUUAUUUAUUAGUCUUUGUUAUAUCUGCAAUAUUCCUAAUGAUUAACUCGGGAAAAUCUUUCCAGCAAAAACCAAAAAAACUUGGAAAAGUCUUGUAAAAAGGGACCCCUCUCUUGUCCUAAUCAAAGAGGGACCGGACAGACUUUUUCAACCCGAGGGGUCGAUGUGGUGACAUUACAGAGCUGUGGUUUUAGUGCUCGUCUGGUUCGACUGGUCAGUCGUCCGCCUGAGCUAGUGUCGGUGUGGGCUUUGAGUCCACAUCGUGGUGCUAGUGGUUAAUUCGGCUCAGUCAGCCUCCUGUGUCAACUACCACCAUGUAUACAAACAUGGUACAGACAACCGCUUUUUCUGUAGCCCUUUGAGCCAAUACAAUAAGAUUUUGUAAUUUAGUGUCGGCAAAGCAAUAAUUUAGAUUCCUUGUCAAAUUCCAAUAAUACGCAUGUCGAAAAAAUUUGUUGAACUGUCACACCCCAUACUUUGAGCAAAUAUUCCAAAGCAAAUUCAAAGAAAUAUUUCACUAAAUUAACGUUGGUAUAUAUUUGUUGACCUGAAAAAUUAUCAACAUUUAUUAAUAAUAAAAAUAAUUAAAUAACAGCCUAAGCUGUGAGUUAAUAGCAACUUAAGGCCCUGUUUGGUGAGCUGGACUGGACUGGUUAAGAUUGGGCUUUGAGUGUUGGAUUUGUCUGGCUUAGAUUGGGUUGGACUUUAAUAAGUUGUUUGGCACAUUAAGUUGGACUAGGCUACACUGGACUAAAGUCCAGUCUGUUGUUUGGUACAAGUAUGGACUGGACAGCAUUGGACUUCAAAUAAAAUUUAUUUUAAUGUUUAUUAAAAUUAUUUAAUAUAGAAAUAAUUAAAUUUAAUAUAAAAAAAUGUAUAGAAAAUUAAAAAUAAGAAAUCACAUGAAGAAACCAUAAAAAUAGUCCAAAAAUUCACAAAAUUAAUAAUAACACGAAAAUUCUUUUAAGUACAUUCAAAUGAUCAAGAAAUACUUAUGUUAUGUUGCUCUAUUUGCCAUCCACUCAUUAAACAUCUCAGUAGCCAAAUUAUCCCUCCAUGUAGACCAUUGGUCGGAUGCGGCAAUGGUAUCAAUAGUGGCAUGAUCGACAUUGUUCUCAAUGAGGGGAUCAUAAUAAAUUUCUUGCUCCAUUGGAUCUAUAGACAUCUCUCUCCUAAUUAACUUGUGUAAAAAACAACAACCCAUUAUUAUUCGGCAUUGUGUUUGUAUUGGAUAGAACGAUGGAGUCCUUAAGAUUGCCCAACGCAUCUUAAGAAGUCCAAAACAACGUUCCACCAUAUUUCUUGCUAAUGCAUGCUUCAUGUUGAAGUAUUCUCGAUGGUUCAAGGGUGCACAUCCUUCUCUCCAUUCCCAUAAGUGAUAUCUCGUUCCUCUGUAGGGCGCAAGAAAUCCCUCACAAUUUUUGUAACCAGCAUCCACAAGGUAAUAAUAUCCUAAACAAUAAAUAGGAGUGAAUUAAAAAACAUAAUUCAAAUUUAUGGUACUGAAAUAUUUCUUAGAAUUCUUUGUAGAGAUUUGUAACUUUCUUGUUUUGUUUAUGGUACUGGAAAUGACUUUCUGUUUUUAGGUAUUUUAGCUGCACUGCAUCCAUAUGGAAAUAUAUAUAUGAUUUAUCUACAUUUCAAGAUAUCAAUCAUUAAUCUAACCAAAAAUCAUCUGAUGACUACAAUUUGUGGCUUAUCCACUUUCCUUCAUUGGGGUUUCUAUUCAAGCAAUGCUGGUAGUAAGGUAACAUGCCAACAAGUUCAUGAACAAAAUUAGAAAAGGUCACUUGCCUUGGAAAGCAAGACUCCAACACGCAACUUCCGUCUCUGAUUGUCUUACACGAAUUAAUGAUAUGGUUCAAGACUUUAACCCUCCGUUUGGAUGAAGGAAUUGAAAAUUACAUAGAAUUCUAAAAUGACAGAAUUUAGAUUUCCAUCAUUUCAAUUUCUAGCAAUUGAAAAUUCUAGUGCUUGGAUUUAUGUAUGUUGAAUUUUGUAAACGACAAAAUUUUGUAAAUGGCACUAUGGAAAUUGUGAAAUAACGCCUAUUUUGGUGAAAGUUAAUUAAAUUUAGGAAUUUGAUGCCCCAAUUUCCACGAUUUUUUCCGCGUGUCAUUUAAUAAAUUUCGUACUUAAGUUGCCAAACAAGAAAAUUGUUAAUUUCUUCUCUUAAAUUUCUGACUUUUAGUUAAAUUCAGAAUUAUUUUCCUUCAUCCAAAUGGACCAUAAACAUUUCUUAAUCUCCUUCUCUCUUUUUUUUCUUUUGCUUUCUCUGUUUGAAUUUUCUCUCUUUUUGGUUUUGCUUACUCUCACUCACUACUACAUUUUACUCUUUGCGCGACGAAGAACAAAACGUCGCGCAAAGUCUCAUUUAGUCGCACUAAUUUCAGCGCGACAAAACAUUCGUCGCGCAUAUUUCGUCGCGCGAAGAUCGUGAAGAAAGCCUUUGCGCGACGAGGUACAACCCUUCGUCGCGCAAAACUGUGCGACGGGUAAACCAUCGUUGCACCAACGGUGUGGAGACGAAACAACUGUUCGUCGCAUAAAUCUUUGCGCGACGAUCAAUUAUUCGGCGCACGUAUAUUUGCGCGACGACAGGAAUAGCGCGACGAAACAUAAUUCGUCGCGCAAAACAUGUUCGGGAGACGUAUAUGUUCGUCGCAGAACAAUUCGCGCGAUGAGAAAGUUUUCGUCGCUCAUAUAUUUGCGCGACAAAAACCUCUGUCGUCGCGCAAAUAUGUUGCGCGACGAAACGUUUCGUCGCGCAAAACCUAUUUGCGAGACGUAUGUAUUCGUCGCGCACGAAUUAAAAGUGAUAAAAAAGUUGAUUUUUUUUUUGUUACAUGUUGGUUUGCGCGACGAAAUGUUUUCCGUCGCGCAAAAAUAAUAUUACAAUUUUAUUUUUAUUUUUUUUAUUUUUUUAUUUUUUAUUUUAAAUAAAAUUGGUUUCUUUUUAUUGAUUAAACAAUGAAAUUGCAAUAAAAAUAAAUUAGAAUAAAAUUUUGUUAUAAAAUAAAAUAAAUGUAUUACAAAUAAAAUAAAUGUUUAUGAUGAAAAUAAAUACACUAAUCAAAUAAUGAAGCAAAAUCAACCGGGUCGUCGCGAGUAUGCGGCUCGGAGGUCUGGGCGUCCACCGGGGCUGUGGUCUGGGCGUCCACCGGGGCAGUGGUCUGGUGGGCAUGCUCGGGGUGGACGGGCUGGGAGGUCGACGCACGAAACUGCGGGAUCGGAAAGCCGCUCUCUGCGAGGGACUGUAGAAUCACCGACAUCUGACCCUGAAGCUCGGCCACCUGUGCUGUCAAAGCAGUCACCUGACUGUUUGACUGCACCGAUGAACGAGGUCUAGGUUCCCUCCGCCGGGCAUUCCCCAUCCCUCGACAAUAUGUCCCCAGCCUCCUUCGCUCGAGUCUGAUCCAACGUCUCCGUCAAGAUCUGAAAUCCAGCAUCCGAUGGAGGAGCCACAGACUCGAGCGGAGUCUCAGGAGGAAGCUGGGAGGCGGACUCCUGAAGAACCAACUGGCUCCUCUCCACCAUCGUCGUCUGUUGAACAUAACAUAAAAUAUAAAUUAAAACAUGCAUAUAAAUUGAAUGCGUAACAUAAGAAUUUAAAUUAAAUAAUACUUACAUGAAGGGACUCGGCCAACUCAUUCCCGGGUCGAACAUAAACGUCACCAAAGACGUCGAUCUCUGGGAACUUGGACCCCUCCUAAAUUGAACAAGAGAAGAAAAAUAUUAGUAUGAAAAAAAUAAAUUAAUAAAAAUGACAUUAAAAAUGAAAUAUAAAUUAUGUGAUUAUUACCCGUCGCCGUGCAUCCAUCCUAUACGAAAAGGGACUGGAGCCAGAAUGGUGGAGAAGGGUCUUCUUCUUCCUAUUACCCUUAUUCACUUGGGCUUUAUUCUGUUAUACAAAAAAUGAAACGUAUUAGUUAAAAUAUAACAAAUUAAAUAAUAAUGAAAUAAAAAAAAUGAAAUAAACAUUAAUAAGAAAUAAGUAAUAAUUAAACAAAUAUGAUUAAAAAAAAUACCAUAUAUUCGGGCGCUUGAAAAUGAGCGCAGAGCCACUCCCAACUAUCCUCCCGCCCCUCAAGCUCCUUCGGGCAACCCUCCUGAAGAGCGACUUGCGGAUCAUCAAAGGCCUGAAAAUGAUGGUGCAAGUCGCUCUUCCACUGCUUGUACCUCUCAGCGAUGAGUCUGUUGACGUACACCAACGACUCUUCGUCGAGAUCCUCCAAGUUAUAGUUCGUCUGCAAUCAAUUAAUUAAAUACGUUAAGUAAUAGAAAUAUACACAAUUUUAAAGAAAAAUAAUGAAAAUGUAAGGUACAUACCGACAACUGGCCGCGAACCUCCACCUUUAUUUCGUCAGGAAUGACCCUCCAAGACUUCCAUUGCAUCGGGCAAUGGGUCCGCACGACGUGGCCAAUGUCGUGGGCCAAGGAGCUAUGCAACUCCGCCGUGGGUGCAGCCCGAUGGCGCUCGUCGUAUCCGAUGCUGAUACGACUGUUGGUCACCCGGGUGACCUUCGCUGUCUUCAGCUGACGACACGGCCCUCGGGUGUUCUUCUUCGCUGCAAAGAAAUAAGAUAUUAAUGUUAAAUAAACAACAUUGUCAAAUUUAAAUAUAAAAUUAACAAUAAAAAAUGGUAGUUAUACCUGGCUGUGAUCCCGAGGCACCAGUACCCUCGGUCGAUGUCGUCUUGGUGGUGUCGGCAGGCCGGUGCCGCCGCCUAGCACUAGCAGGCUGCGCGACGGAUGACGCAGAUGACGCUGGCGCCUGGGACGCCCCGGGACCAACUAGCACGUGCUCCAUCAAAGCUGGAGCUGUGGCAGCAGAUGCCGACUGAGCUGGGGGAUCCGAACUCGGUGCAGUCGUCAUCGACCUACCACGUCUAAUCAAGUCUAACAUCUGCACAUAUAAUUUUAUUAAGAAUUUAAACUAAUUAAUUAAAAGCAUAGCAUGACCUAGGGUUUGGAAUUUCGGAGUAUCCGGGACUCCGAUCAACAAUCGGUCGAAUCCUAAACGAUCCUAGAAACACAAAGGUACAACUACGUGAGUUUGAGUUCGAUCCAACGGUCCGAACAUAUCAAACCUGGAAAUCGCAGAAUAGGCGAAAUCCGAUCAAUACUCAAACGGUAACCAAAUUCAAAUCCGAGCAAACCUACGCGCUCGUGACAAACAGGGGAUUGCUCUGGGACACAAUGCCCCACUGCCACAGCAUCCCACGCGCCACCACACGCGCCGGCAGCGCGUGGGUGUCCAAAGCGAUAACAUUCGCCGGAAAAUUCUAAAAACUAACGGCCAAGGUUCCUACCCUAGGUUGAAAACAGUAAUUGGAGCCACUUUUGUUCUCGGACCUACCCCGAAAAAUAGCCGGAAGUGGCCGGAUUUGAAAUUCCCAAACCGGCCAAAACCUAGGGUUUUAAUUCCUAUUUCCUAUAGCGAAAAUUCAACAAAUCCUAGCCAACCAUCAGCUAGAGCACAAAAAAUAGUCGAGAAAUCAUACCUCAGGCGUCGGAAAUGGUGGCCGGAGGAGAGAGAAAUCGCCGGCGAUGAAUCGGGAAAAAACCGGCAGGCUCGACGGCGGGCUCGACGGCGAAGGAAGGGGAGGCUACGGCAAGAGCGGCGGUGGCUGAGGUGACGGCGGAGAGAGAGGGCUGAGGUGACGGCAGAGAGAGAGGGAAACGGAGGAAAAAACCAGAAAUGGGGAAGAAGGAGGCAUCGCGCCGUUUCUGCAAAUUUUUACGACUUUGCGCGACGAAGGACAUCAUCCGUCGCGCAAAAUGGUAUUAAUGAAUCUUGCGCGAUGAAAUAUCCGUCGCGCAAGGUCUCCCAGAACGCCAAAUUUUGAAUGGGGAUUAGGGUCUGUGACUUUUGCGCGACGAAAAAUACUUAGUUCGUCGCGCAAAAGGCUGUCGUUCCGCCAAAUUUUUGGGAUUUAGGGUUUAGUGGGAGGCUGAAACUGAAGGGUUUGUGCUUUUGCGCAACGAAGAGAGUAAACGUCGCGCAAGGGUAACCUUGCGCGACGGGAAACAUUAUAUUCGUCGCGCAAAACGCUGGCGUUCCGCCAAAUUUUUGGGAUUUAGGGUUUAGCGGGAAAUGAAGGGUUUGUGCUUUUGCGCGACGAAGACAGUAAACGUCGCGCAAGGGUAACCUUGCGCGACGGAACACAUUAUAUUCGUUGCGCAAAACGCUGUCGUUCCGCCAAAUUUUUGGGAUUUAGGGUUUAGCUGGAAAUGAAGGGUCUGUGGAUUUUGCGUGACGAAGAUAGUAAACGUCGCGCAAUGGUUCCCAUUGCGCGACGGAAAAUAUUAUAUUCGUCGCGCAAAACGCUGUCGUUCCGCCAACAUUUUGGGGUUUAGGGUUUAGCGGGACGCAAUCUAUUUCACUUUCACUUUGCGCGACGCAUACCUUGGUUCGUCGCGCGAGUUCAAGAUUGUGAUUGAAAUUUUCACUAAGUGUUCAAAGGGGAUGGAGGUGUGAAAACUGUCGCCCAGAUUGCUCGACGAACAUAGGACUGUUCCGUCGCGCAAUCUAUUUCACUUUCACUUUGCGCGACGCAUACCGUGGUUCGUCGCGCGAGUUCAAGAUUUUGAUUGAAAUUUUCACUAAGUGUUCAAAGGGGAUGGAGGUGUGAAAACUGUCGCCCAGAUUGCGCGACGAACAUAGGACUGUUCCGUCGCGCAAUCUAUUUCACUUUCACUUUGCGCGACGGUUAUAGAUAUGCGUCGCGCAAAACCUAGACCCUAAACCCUAAGCCCUAAACCCUAAACCCUAAAAUAGUUUCAAUGAUCCAACCGGCUAACUUAUUUUUUGAUACUUGGAGAUCAUAUACGCCAAAAAUCAAAAAGACCAAACAUUCAGAUAUCAGGGAACGGGACUAAAUAUUUCGACGGUUAUAAAUGAAAAGUCAUGAUUUAACGGUUAUUUUAACUCCGAUUUUGAUCAUUUUUUACAGCAACAUUUGUUGACCCUAUAUGAAUACAAUGACUGAAUUUGAUCUUCAAUUUCAGAUUUUUACACUAGGGGAUACCACAUAAACGUUAAGUUACAUUUUCACAAAUGUAUGAACAAAUUUUAGGGUUUUUGGUGAAUAUAUGAUUUUGAUAGCACACGCAGUCUACGAAACAAGUUUCAGUCAUCCAGCCGUCAAACUUGUUUUUUUAGACUUCGAGAUCAUAGACAGCAAAAAUUGGACAAAAAAAACAUUCAGAGAUUAAGUAACGGGGUAAAACUUUUCGACGGUUCUAAAUAAAGAGUGAUGAUUGAACGGUUAUUUUAACUCCGAUGUUGAUGAUUUUUUGCAGCUACAGUCCUACACUUCAUAUGAAUACAAUGAACUACUUCGAUCGUCAAUUUUAAAUAUAUAUGUGUGUAUAUAUUAUACUAUAACGUUACCUAAUAUAUAUUUGCGCGACGAAGGGCUCAUUAUCGUCGUGCAAAAAUUCCAUACGCGACGCAUAUAUAUUCGUCGCGGAAACAAUGCGCGACGAGGUAUAUUCGUCGCGCAAACGUUACGCAACACUUAUAUAUGCGUCGCGUAUGGUAUGUUUGCGCGACGAUAAUGAGCCCUUCGUCGCGCAAGGAUUUGGCGCCAUAAAUCCUCAUUUAAUUCAAAUUGUGUAUGCUUUGUAUUUUUUGGAAAGGUUUUGUAUUCAUCAUUUUUUAUGCUUUGUAUUUUUUGGAAAGGCUUUGUAUUUCUCAAUCAAGCUUUUGAUUUUGAACACAUCUCUCAAUCAAGCUUUUGAGUUAAUUCAGCCAUGGCUUCUCUUCAUGACACUCCAACAUCUUCAGCUCCCAUACCCCACUUCUUCAAGAUCAUUCUAGAUGACACUUCUAAAAACAUCAGAAUUGUAAGCAUCUCUCUCUCUCUCUCUCUCUCUCUCUCUCUCUCUCUCUAUGCUAAGAAUGUUUUCUGAUUAUUGAAAUAUUCAUUUCUUUUGUUAUUUUUAUUGAAGCUUUAACUUGUUCUGUUCUGCAGAAAAUUCCAAUGAAGUUUGUGAUGAAAUAUGGAGAAUGAAUACACAACUACAUAUGGACAACUACAUAUAUUUAAAGAUUUGUAUUACAUAAAAUGAAUACAGUAACAUAAUAAAUUUACAAAUAAAUUCAUUAUUCAUCAUCUGAACUAUAAUAACUUUCGUUAUUGUCGCUAUCAUCACUCUCGGUCUCCCAGUCUUCUUCCUCCUCCUCCUCUAUAACUGCAUCAUUGGCGUUGCUAGGGCCCACUGCAACAUCGUAUCGGGGAAGAUCACCGAGGUCAAUUGUAAUUGACUGAAUCGGUAUUUCGACUGAAGACACUCCUUCUAUUUGAAACGGUUCUUGUAUAACAUUUGUAUCUCGAAGUGUUUCCGCAUCAUUUUCCAUUGAAGAUUCUAAACGUUGGUCAGCCACAUUGUCGACGUCGUUGUCACUUGGGUCUAGUUCUGGUAUAUCAUACACAUUCCUAUGAUCCAUCUUCUGCACAACUUUCCACCAGUUCCCGGCUUUAGGGUCAUCUAGAUACACAAUUUGGGACGCCAUGUUUGCCAAAAUGUACGGGUCGUCAUCAUACCAAGUUCUGUUAUUGUUCACAGACAGUACUCCAUGGUCGAUUUUAACACUUCCCGCCCAUUUUGGGUUGGUAUCGAACCAUCGACACUUAAACAUGAUGACUUGGUAUCGAUCUUUGUAAAGCAAUUGCACGACAGUUGUCAGUUUGCCAUAGAAAUCAAUGUCCGUACUUUCGCCUCCACCUGGGACAUGGACACCGCUAUUUUGCGUACACAACUUGUCAUCUCGUGCGGCCCCCAAAAAUUUGACGCCGUUAACAUUACAACCCGAGAACAAUUCAGCGCGAAUUGGGCCGAACGCCAAGUUAUAUAACUCAUCACUGUAAGUGGGGGAAUUCGAUGAUUUCAAUUUAUUCACCUAAUAGUAUACAAAACCAUUUACAUGUUAGUCUGACAAAAUUAAAUACUACAAUUUAUAUUUGUCAAUUACAAAACACUUAUAACUUACAGAAUCCAAAAACCAUUGUGGAAAUAAUUCACGGUGUUUCCGGGCAACCAAAUGUGAUAGAUGUUCUCGCUUCAUCAUCUGUUCAUGCUCAUCUAAGUAGGCCAUUAUCUCAUCACAAUUGUUCAGUACGAACCAAUGCGCUACCUCCAUGUCAUUUCUAGAAAACGACUCUCCUCGUCCAGGAUCUCCAAAUGGUCGUGCGCUUUGGGCAAAAACAGAAAGUUUUUCAUUUCUCAUACCUCCGUCAUUAUUGCGUUGAGGAUGAUUGAAAACCGUCUCCACAUCUUUUAAAUACAUUCCACAGAAAGUAAGCGACUCAUAUUGAACCCAAGCCUCUAUAAUUGAUCCUUCGGGCUUUGCCCUGUUGCGUACACUUUUUUUCAGCUCUCCGAGAAGCCUGCCAAAAUAAAACGAUAUGAUACAAAUUAGCAAACUGUUGAUAAUGAUGCAUACACAAAUGAUAAAGAUUAUAUACCUUUCUAUUGGAUACAUCCAGCGAUAGUUGACAGGACCAGCAAGCAAUGCCUCUUCUGGCAAGUGAACCAUCACGUGCAUCAUACUUGUAAAGAAAGCUGGAGGAAAUAUCAUCUCAAACUUGCAUAGGACUUGGACAAUUUCAUGGCGCAACUGAAACAUGUCUGUCCUUCGCAAUGUUUUUGCCGUCAGUUGGGAAAAAAAUCUGGAUAACAACAUGAUUGGCUUCACCACAUCUUCCGGCAGUAGGUGUCGAAUACCCACAGGAAGUAGGCGUUGCAUGAACACAUGGCAGUCAUGGCUCUUAAGUCCAGUAAAUUUACCCCCAUCGACAUUCAUGUAACGUGCGAUAUUAGAAGCAUACCCAUCGGGAAAUUUGACAGACGAUACAAACUUUAGAAACUCCUUUUUGUCAUUCGGUUUCAUAGAAAAGAAUGCAAGAUCCCUUCUAGCUUUAUCACUUUCCCUAUUCAUCCAUAAACCCCUUCGUAUGCCCAUUCUUUCCAAAUCAAGACGAGCUUUGAUCGUGUCCUUCGUCUUCCCCUCGAUAUCUAGAAUCGUGCCCACCAAUGUGUCGAAUACAUUUUUCUCAACAUGCAUCACAUCUAGAUUGUGCCUCAAUUUCAGUUUCGACCAAUAUGGGAGCUCAAAAAACAUAGGCUUGUGCGUCCAGUUCAAAUGUGUAGAAGGUCUGGUCCGACUAACUGUUUUCCCGAACGGAGCAAAAUCCAAACGGUUCAGCUGUUCCAAGAUCUCAUCACCGGACCAUUCUCUAGGUCUGAGGUGACGCUCUGUGUUCCCGUCGAACUCUUUAUCUUUUUCUCGCCACUCGUGGUCCCAUGGCAACCAUCUCCGAUGACCAAGGUAACAAAUUAACUUUUUCCGCGUGCCAACCAGAAGUUACAUCUUCCUUGCAUACAGGACAUGCCAUAUAACCCUUUGUGCUCCACCCAGAAACCAUUGCAUAUGCUGGAAAAUCAUUCACAGUCCACAUAACUGCUGCUCGCAAAGUGAACAUCCUCCCAGUUGAUUUAUUGUACGUGCGAACACCGUUUAUCCAUAAAUCCUUCAGCUCAUCAACCAGAGGCCUUAAGUACACAUCAAUUGACCUGCCAGGAUCCUCAGUUAUCAAAACAGUCAUCAUCAUGUCUGUGGCAGUAUGCGUUGACAUAUACAAUCGCUGCAACCUAGGUUUAAGGGGCAGAUAACGCAUGACUUUUUGUGGUAUCUUAGUCGUUUUAUUCUGGGAUGUCAUUUUGAACCUCAACUCAUUGCAUAUAGGGCAUGUAUCCAACGUUUCAUGCUCUUUGUAGAAUAACAUGCAAUUGUUUUUGCAAGCAUGAAUUUUUUCAUAACCCAAUCCAAGACCAUGCAACACCUUCUGUGCAUGUUUAUGGUCUUUCGGCAAACAAUUGUCCGUCGGAAGCAUUCUCUUGAAAACCCCCAAAAAGUAAUCGAAACACAAGUUCGACAUAUGAUACUUUAUUUUUUCGUGCAUUAGCUCCACAAUGGCAGUGAGAACGGAAAAGCUCUCGCACCCCGGGUAUAACUCUUGGUUGGCAUUUUUUAACAGUUUUUCAUACUGUUCAAACUCCGCACUGUCUAUUGAUGUAGGCACGUCAUCUUCCCCUUCCUGAUUGAUGUUGGUCGAUGCGAAUGGAAAAGCAUCCUGUAUAAUACCCAUGACUUGAUCAUUAGGAUCCACAAUAGGUUCAACAUUGUCCACUCUUGGGGCAUUUGAAGACGAAGCAUGGUCUACUUGUUCGCCGUGAAGGUUCCAAAUGCUAUAUGUUUCAAUCAUUCCAUUCCUUACUAAAUGAAAUCCAACAUUUUCAAUUGUCUCCCACAACGUGUUGUUACACCUCCUACAAGAACAACGGAUUCUAGUUGCACCUGGGUUGUGUCUACGUGCAAACUCAAUAAAAUCCUCUAUUCCAUCCAAGUAUUCGUCUGCGCAUCUAUUCGGGUUCUGUAUCCACCUUCUGCUCAUAAUUCCUGAAACCACAAUCACGACACAACAAUCACAACAACUUCAUACGAAGUUAUAAUGUCACCUUAUGCCUCCAGUAAGGGCCCUAUCCCAUUCUGGAAUGCAUAGUCCUGUCACGUAACCUACGGCUACAUGAGAUUAGAUUUCGACGUGGAUUAAUUUCGGCAGCAUCUCGACACAGUUCUUGAAGUGGGCAUAGGUAUAAAUACCUACGUACCACUCGAAGAACGUACCGAGAUGACACCGAAAUCUCCACAAUCGAAACCUAAUCCUGUAGCCGAAGAUUAUGUGACAACACUAUGCAUUACCAAACUGUCCAAAUAAUGGGACAAUUCAAGAAUUAAUUGGACCGCAGUCAUGCAUUACGCAUCCAUGCACGAAAUCCAACUAAUCUCGAACGGGAAACUACGUGUUACUAAACAUAAAAAUAAAAGUACGAAGUUAAUUUCAAUUAACUUCGUACAUCACAACACAUUGUGCUAUGUCACGCACAAUUUCACAACAUUAUACAUAUAUAACUUCACAAAAAAAUUACAAACAUAACAAACAAACUUUUACAAUAACAUACCUUCUCAAUUGUUCUCCACCAAUCACCAAUCACAAAUAUCCCUAAUGAUAACAAAAUUAAUAGCGUUACUACGAAUUUACAUUAAUACAUUUAAACUAACGACAAAAAAUACAUACCCAAUGAACGUACUGAAUUCACAGCAGAACAACGGCAGGGAGAGUGAGAGAGAGGCAGAAUGCAAUUUCUGCAUUCUGCCUCUGCAAUGGCAGAUACUAAUAUGAAGAAGAAGGACUUUGCGCGACGAACACCCACAAUCCGUCGCGCAAAAUGCCGUCGCGAAAACCCACUUUUCAGUCGCACAAAAUAACAUUUCCGUCGCGCAAUUACCUGUCGACAUCUGCUUUUUUGCGCGACGAAUAACAUUAUUCGUCGCACAAAAUUUCGUCGCACAAGGUUUAAAUUACGUCGCGCAAAUUAUUUAUUUCGUCGCGCAAGGCAUUACACUUUACGCGACGAAAAUAAUUCCGUCGCGCAAAAAAAGUUUUAUCCACCCUGCAUUUUGCCGCCAAAAAUAAGUGUCCCUCGUUUUCUUACGCGACGGUACAUGUUUUCGUCGCGCUAAGUUGUCUUUUGCGACGAAAACUUUCGUCGCGCAAAGUUUUUUACCGCAAAAAAAAUUAGACAAUUUUCUGUCCAUCUUUACGCGACGAAUUUUUUGGAUUGUCGCGCAAUAUUGUCAUGCGCGACGAUCAUUAUCGUCGCGCAAGAUUCUGGCGCCAAAAAAAAAAACCGGGGUUUUUUCCCCGACCUUUGCGCGACGAAAUUAGUGUUGGUCGCGCAUAGAUUAUUUGCGCGACGAAACCGUUUCGUCGCGCUAGUGUUCUGUUGUUUGCGCUACGGUAUUUUUUUUUCGUCGUAAUAGUGAAGUUUGCGCGACGAAAACAUGUUCGUCGCGCAAACUUCCGUCGCGCAAAUAGUAAAUCGUAGUAGUGACUCCUGAUAUACUUUAGUGGCUAUGAAAGAAAAAGGCUAGAACAGGAAGAAAUAAUACUUAUGGCAUGUACACAAGAAGAAAAAAGAAAUAAUACUUACUCAGCAUAUAUCAAUAUACUUAUGGCAUGUAGAAGAUGAAGAAAUACAUAAAUAUAUAUAAGAGAAAUAAGAUUCAAAUUCAGAGAAAGGAACGCAAACAAAAGUUUGAGUAUAGGAGCUCUAGUGGCCAUACAUCUCCAAACCCUUCCGCUAUGUAAUAGUACGGGAAACUCCAAGCCGAAUCUUUCUUUCUCACUUAUUGAUUUUUCUCUUCUUUUUCUUCUUGGUCGUGCCUUUUUUUUUCAAUCAAGCCGCUUGCUUCAUUUUUUGUUUUGCUUACUAACUGUUAAUAUAUAAAAUAAAAUAUAAAAUAAAGCUAGAACAAGAAGAAUAAGAAUACCAAAAAGAUAUGGUACGCUCGACUUGUUGUAAUUCUUGUUGCCAACAUUGAUAAUUCCAACCCGACGGCUUUUUUUUGCAUAAAAUCUAUUGCGAGAAAUGUUGUGGUUUCCACCCAUCCUUGCUCGAUCACCACUUUCACCGUCUUCGUUGUAAGCCUCUUGAAUCCCAACAUCUAUGCUUUCAAAUGCGGGAAAAUAAUUCUCAUUAAUGUUGUUGGUCUCGUUGCCUUGAUCAGUAUUUUCUGCCUCACUAUUUUCAUUUUGCUGGAGCACUUGUUCAGUUCUUUCUCCUUGGGGCUCUUGUUCAUAAAGAGUUCUAGGGCGACCAUGAAAGCGGUUUCUUACCCUCUCUUGAGGGCUCUGGUUCAGUUGUGCAGCUUCAGUUCGAGAUCGAGACCCAUCUUAUAUAUAUGCAAAGAAUAAAAUGGACAGAUCUUCAAAUAAGUGCAUGCCAAUACUCAAUCAGAUGGAAGAUAAUCUUUCAAUAAAUGGAAGUUACUAUUGUAGACUAAUUUCAUAAAUUCCUUAAAACCUAUACACGCAUAGAAUCACAUCAAGGAAAAGAUCUUGAAUCAAAUAAAAAUAUUAAUCAUAAUAGUACAUACCUGCCAUUGAUGAAAGCUCAAAAGAAAGUCUUCUACUCUCCGUAGAGUUCUUAUGUUCAACUAGCAAUAUGGACUAGAUGUUUUGAACGGGUGUUUCUAAGAGAGCAUGGACCACUUCUUGAAAAUGGAAUAGCUUACUAUUAUGUAUGUGGAUUUAUUUAUUAAUCUCUGUGUUUUUUUUUUUUUGGUCAUAAGUUUAUUAAUCUUUGUUAUAUCUGCAGUAAUCCAAAUGAUCAACUUGGAAAAGUCUUCCCAGCAAAAAAAAAAAUAAAAAACUUGGAAAAGUCUUGUGAAAAAGGACUUUGUGUGUGUGUAGAAAGGUUCAAGUUUUUCAAUUUUUUUUUCGAAUCUUGACAAAAGAAAUAAAAGAAAAUAAAAUGGUUACAAACUAACAAUCGAAAAAGAAAUUAAGCAAAAUAAAACUUAGGCAAGCCAAAUCAAUCCAAAGAUACCAAUGGAACGAAGAUUCAAAUAAGUUGAUUUUUAUAGUUAAUCUCAGUUAUAUAUCUGAAAUAAUCAUGGGGCAUUCUAAAAGACGCAGUUCUUCCUCCCCUCUUCUAUCUUCUCUUCCUCCUUUCUCAUCUUCCCCUAUUUUCAGAUACAUAAGUUUUUCCCUAUUUGUCUUCUUUUUGUUAUGAUUUUCCUCCAACCAUCACAUGUGGCUCCAUCUUGGUGUCGGAUCUCCAUCUACAUUUUUGGCGUCGGAUCUGCACCAUCAUCAUUUUUACGAUUUUUUUGUGUUUGGAAUAAGUCACAAAGACUCUUUGGAUUCUUUGUGUAGUUUUCAUCUCGUUUUAUUUGUAUUGUUAUGACUUGGUUUUUUCAAGCUUUAUCUCUUUUUGAUUACUAUGAGUUUACAAUCUUAAUUAGGAUGCUUAUACUAGAGUUUCGAUCAUGAGUGAUCGUUAAUGGCGGCACACUAGAUUGUUUUAAUUUUGAUGUUAGAUCACUCUAUUAUUGCAAUUGUCCCUUGUGGCAAGUUUGUAUUGGCCAUUUGUGACUAGUGACUUUUUAAACUAAAUUAUAAAUGCAAUCCAAAAAUUUCUAAAAAAAAAAAAAGCAAAAACAAUUAAUAGUCAUGAUCGAUAGUGUAGUUGUUUACACCAUAAUGAACCGAGCAGACCCAGCACCAAAGUGACUAGCACCAAGGCAGCCACGCCUUCUCCUGUGCCGAAGGAAGACACACUUCCGAGGUGCCAGACACCUACCGAAGCUCCCAGCUGCCAAACCUAAUCUACAGGACACGUGUCGCCACCACAAUGGCUUGCACAAAGUCCCACAUUGGAACUUUGUGCAAAACUCCUACUCUCACCUCCCUAUAAAUAGGGAACAGUACCCAGGUACAAAGGACGACUAUUCUCCCACUUUUACUGUUACUCUGCCAGAAUUACUACUUGUAACUGACUUAGGCAUCGGAGAGCCUUCGGCCGGCACCACACCGGUGUCUGAAGCUUAACGAUUGCUUCUCCUCUUUUACCUUCUACAGGUCUCUCACCAACCCAUUUCACCAAGGGCCUCAGCCUUCUUCUCUGCUGAAGACUCAGCACAUCUAAUCACUAAGUUGCACUCAAUAUUGGCCGGGCCAUUUUGAGCAUCAACAGUAGUAAAAAAGGUACUCCUGUGGAAAAAAUAUUUGACUUCUUCGGACACGCACAUGCACAUAAAUUAUAUAAGAAAUUAUAAUUAGUGCUUGCAAUUAUAAAUUAUCUAGCUAAUUGAUUACUUUGAAUUUUUGUUUUGAUCACAUGCAGGACAAAGAAGACCACUCUUGUCCUAAUGCCCUCGGAGAAUGUAUAUUUUAUUUUAUUUUUUCAAAAACCUACUACAACUUUUCAAAUGGCAAAAACUAUUUCACUGAAAAUAAAAAUAUUAUGUAAAAAUAUUUUAUAUACUCGUGAUAUGUAUUAAAAUAAAAAAUUCAUUAUAAAUAUAAGCUAUAGUUGCCUGUGAUCAUCUGACACAUUAUAUAUUAUACUUGCAUUCCUACUGAGAAUUGAGGGGCUCAAGCAUCUUUGAUGCUUUCCAGUUUGUUUAUCGUAAAAUUACAACAACUUCCCCUCUUUUUUGCCGUAACGUUAGCAAAGAUACAAGUGAUAUUAAUUAUUGGAGCAGUACAUAAGCUUAAAAAUAGGCCCAGGUAUUGCUAUUAUUAAUUUAUGAUUUUAAAAUGUACAAAUUCUACAAUUUAAGGGAUUCAAAACUUCAACAGCGAUGUCGAGUCAAAUAAUACGGGGUAAAAUAUUUUUUGAUAUAUUUCUAUUCAUCAAAGUAAGGUAUUUAUAAUACAAGUAUGUAAACUCUAGUAGGGUUAUACAAGAAAACAAAUAAAAUUCUAAUUACACAAAAUUUGUACAAAAGAGAGAGAAAAAAAAUUCCAAUAGAAUAGGAAAUAAAUAUCCUAAUCAAAUUAGGAUCUUGUGAACAUAGUGAUGAUCACCGUAAAGUUCGUUUUAGUAUUCGAAAAUACAUAAUACGGUCGGUUAUAAUAAACGAAUUUUUUGAUAACGAGAGAUUUGUUCUAUCUAUUAAUGUUCGUAAAACUUCAUUUUUCACGAAAAUCUGAUGAACGAACUCUGCUUCUUCAUUUUCCAUUUUUAUGGUUCGUAAAAUAAUGCCACUGUUGCUGAACUUGAGAGAGAGGAGCAUUAAUAUUGUAUAUUGACGACCAUCAACAUAAUACAUAUUUUUAUUUUAUUCAUCAAAUUAAUAGUACAUAUAAUUAAGAAGGGAGGGGAGGCCCUAGCUAGCUACAGACCUCAGUGAGUCAUCAGUUCUGCUUCGUCUUCAUCAGUACUGGAUGUCGAGUCAGUUUCUCCACCGGAGUCGACUAGUUAUUCUUUGCCGUGGCCUUUGUAGAUGUGGGUGUUGCCAAACUCGAAAAUUCCUACUCUCUCCGAUUUUUUCCCCGUAAUAUUAUUCCCAACGAUGCUGAAGUCAUUGCCUCUUCGGCCCAUGUCUUUUUUCUUACCUCUCUCAUUCUUGGGUUGCAGAGUUUUGGUGCUCACUGAUGGGGAUUUCGAGCUGUUGCUGUUUUGUUGGUCGGUGUUGGCCUUAGAAGAAUCCUCAGAACCUUGUUUCUGAUCACCAAGUGGAGGCUUCAGAUAUAGCCAGCCGGUAGACAUUUUCACCGCUUGGGAUCCUUGUCUGGUUUGUAAUUUAUCCAUAUAUAUAAAGGCGGAAAGCCUCAAAAGCCCAGAAUACCCUUGGUAACCUAAAAUACUAAAUCGCAUGAUUUUAAUUAAAAUAGGAUAAAACUGUAAAACAAAAAUUAAUAAAAGAAAAAUAAAAACCAGCAGAAUUUAUUAAUUUUUGCAAACACGUCCUGGAGAAAUCGCUAGCCCAAUUCAUACACCUUCAUCAGAGGUCUUGGGUGGUUCCUUCAAGUGUGGCUCAUUCUAUUAUUGGAAUACAAUCAAGCAUUUAAUCUCGCUAAAAUUUCAACCAAGCUUCAAGCCCACUGACAUAAUCAAAACUAAACUCAGCAAAAGUACUAAUUUAGUUCGCGGCUGCACCUCUGUGAAAUCUCAGGCUACCUAUAUACCUCUUUGUAAGGGAUUAAGCCACAAGUAGUUCUUAUCUCAAUAAUCAGCAGCACUCACAUAGAACAUUCAUAACUUAUGUAGUCAUUCUCUAUCAACCGGUACAAGUGAAUUAUCCGCCACGAUUCAUAGUAAACAAAAUUAUUGUAGCUACCUCUUUUCUAUAUCCAACUAAAAACAAGCUAAGUUGUAAUCUAUAUACUCAAGAUAUGGUACAAUUUCACAAUGUAGUCCCACAUACAUAAACAACCAUAAGAGCAUACACCACAUACAACUACCCUUCCCGGCAAACAUGCCUUUUUCCGAGUCGCCUGGAUACCCAAACAUAGAAUGGUCCGAUUAAUCUUAUGAAACACACAAGUUAUAUACGAGAUUCCACAACUACCAAGGAGUAUAACAAUUCGGAAAAUAUACAAAUAUCGUCCAAGCAAAACCAACAAUUAAAUUUAGAUUCAUUCUCAACUUCAAUUUCCCCAAUGCAUAUAACUAAAUAUUUUACAAAUUCCUUUCUUCCCAUGAUUCAUAACUCAAAACCAUUUCCCUGUAAAAACUCACAUGUACUAUGCACAACUCUUUUAAAACUAAUCAUUUACUUUGAACUCAAAUUACUUUUCCAAAAUCAUUUCUUUCCUGUAACCAUACCAUAUCCAAGGCGUAUAUUGUAAAACAACACUAUCCAAACAUUGUAACAAUGAUCACACCUGUGCAGAGCACUCACCAAGUUGACACGCUCAAGAAACCCCAACCGGAAAAUGAAUCCGCAUAUUUUCCCACAUAUAUACAUACAUAUAUAUACCCCGCACCAUCAUCAUGUACCAGGGGAAACCAAUCUAACAUGGGGAUUGUUUGACUAAACCGCAUGAAAGAAUCCUCAAUUGACCAUGUGGCUAGGGAGCAAGCGUCCAACUGGGGCACUGGGCUCUCCAGCUCGCACAAUAGAAUCCUCAAUACUUGUACGACUGUGAUAAGUCCUACGCACGCAGUUUGCUCCCCCAAGGGUGCCUGGGUUAACAUAUCCAAGUAUCCAAGUGCCGGGGAGGUACAUAUCAUAGUGCACAUCAUGCACAUCAUGUACCGAGGAAACAAUCCAACCGGGGGAUUGUUUGACUCAACCACAUGGAAGAAUCCUUAAUUGACCAUGUGGCUAAGGAACGAGCCGUCCAACCAAGGGACUAGGCUCACUAGACCACACAUCGGAAAUCUCAAUACACAUGUGACUGUGAAAAGUCCUACGCGUACAGAUUGCCCGUCAAGGCUUACGGCACACCCGAUCAAAGGUGCCUAGAUUCCAAAGUAACCAAGUAACCAUUGUUUCCAAUAUCCAUGUGCCGGGGAUGUACAUAUGAUGGUGCAAUACACGAACCUAUAUAUAUAUAUGAUAUAAAAUAAUAUACCCUCCCUUAAUUCAAAAUUCUCAAUAUUUCAAUAUACCAAAAUAUUUAUUCAUAGUAUAGAAAAUAAACUCUCAAAAGCAUAAAUUCCAUAACAAAAUCUCAUAAUCCCAUCAAGACCCAAAUAAUUCAAAUAAUAAACAUAACCUGUUUGUACAUGCAAUUUCCAUAAAAUACUUUCAUAAUCGAACCCCAUAUCACCCAAUCCAAAUACUUUGAAAAUAACCAUAGUAAUACUAACUAUGUAUUCUCAAGUCACAGUGUAAAUGCCGAAACCAAUCCGAUAGUACAUUUUCAUAACUCCAUUAACCAAAUACUAAUUUCCAAACUAUUCAGGUUUCCACCAUCAAAUUCAAAGUCUAGGCUCGCACAAAAAAUAUGGUCAUUUAACAUCAGAUCACGGAUAAAUUCACACUAUUCCCAUAUCCCAAUUUAUAUCACAAAUAAACACACACAUAUACACGCAUUUCAAUAUUCCAAAAGCAAUGCACAUUUAAAACAAUUGUCCACUCACUUCCAAAUAAUCAUAGCCGAGUCCCAAGACUCGAUUUCACAACUAGUCAAUCAAGUAUCCCAUAACCACAAAAUACUAUAAUUCACGACAGUCGAGAUAAUCAAAUAUCCAUAUGCAUGACAUUUUAUAAACGCAUAACCUUCCAACCUCAAAAAUAAAGAUCAAUAAAAGAAACACGAAGCUUACCCUCAGAAGGCUCUCCCUCUGAAGUACGUGAAGUGUGGGUACCUCACUCGAGAGCAUAAGCGGAUCUAAUUAAUGAGUGUACCCAACAACGAACUUUAACUCAACACUUAAGUUCCUGGGUCCCAAGAUAAAUGUGCAAGACUAUUGGGGAGUUCUUAAGGUCAAUCUAAUGCUUUUCAAAAGGUGAAAGUACCUCGUAAGAUAGACUCACAGUCAACUGAGGGGUCAAAUUCCACAUAUUGGUUAACCGGGCCCGUGGGGCCCACAUCCUCCAAUUUCGAUAUGAAAGUUCCUAUGGGUCCAACAAAGUCCACUAAACAAGUCCUAUAAGUUUGGUCUCGAUCGAGCAGUCGAAUGUAAGCCAAUCGCACGUUUAGACGGCUAACGCUUCACCUAACCCUAGAAUUAAUGAUUCAGAGUAUUUAGGACUCCCAUUCUCGAUCCGUGAGUUCCUACACAAUCCUAGAGGUAGAGAGAACAACAUAUUUGAAAUUGAGACCGAUCGAAUGAUCUAAACCUAUCGAACCUGGAUAUCGCAUAUUAGUACAAUAUCUGUUCUACUAUCAGACGGUAACCAAUUCCAAAUACGAGCAUAUCAUGCUCAGAACGAUAAUGGGAACAUUUUAGAACAUAAUGGGUCAUCACUCAGUGGCCCACGCACUGCCGGCAAUGCGUAGGUGUCUUGAGAAAUUUUCGAAGACGGAAAUUUCUCGAAACACCCUACAAUACCUAUACCAACACGUUCAAACUAAUAAGGGGAGCAUUUUUGGUUCUUGGACCAUGGCCAAAAGCUGACUGGAACUAGCCGGAAUGAAGCCAAAACCGUCACCAUAAUUGGGGGUUAGAAAUCGAUCUCUAAAACCUCAAAGUCGAUCUACAACACCUAUAUAAACAGGUAGAGCAUGAAGAGAGGAUGAAGUUUCAUGUCUCACUCGACUAAAACGGUGGCCGGCGGCGUCGAAAACUUUGACAAUCGCCGACACUUCCAGUUGUUCCAGCCACGAGUCCUUAGGUUUUUGAGCUGGGAAACGGGCUGAGUUAAGUAGAGGACAAAGAUACAAAGAUUUUGGGAUUGGUCUCGCUAGAAUGGUGGCCAAAAUUGGGAGAAAUCGCCUACCAAAGUCGUUGGCAGGUUACGCGUAAAGGGGGGGGGGGGAGAGAGAGAGAGAGAGAGAGAGAGAGAGAGAGAGAGAGAGAGACUAGGAAGAGUCGGGGGGAAAAAGAAAGAAGAAGAGAAAAAUAAAGGGCUGGGCACUAUAGCAUUGCUACUGUAGUGGGAUUGUACCAUUGUUACUGUAGAUCAGAUAUUUUCUAUAAAGAAAAUUACUAAUUUGCCCCUUUUGAUUUUCAGUUCUUUCACCUUCGUUAAAACUCAGAAUUGAGCCUGCCAUCUAUCUAUGAACUCGUAUCGACGGGCUCUACGCAGCAAUGCCACUCAAUUCCCCCAAAAUCCUGCAGGAUCAAAAAGUGACUAAAGUGACCAUACCCUCAAAGGCAAAAUUGUAAUUUCAUAUAUAGAAAUAAAUUGAAUUAAACAAUUAAAUAGGGUCAGGGGUGUUACAUUUUUCUACAAUGGCAUAUUUUUUGUCUUCACCAGCACCAAAGGGGGAACAGACGAACCAAAGAAAAACUGUGCACAACAAAACAAUGCUGAAAUUACUAGGACACGCAUAGAAGUUUUAAUACUAAUUAAAUGGUAACAAAAAAAAUAAAUAAAUGUCAUACGUUAUCUAAACGAAUAAAUAAAUAAAUAAAAAAUUUCCCCCCUAAGAGGCUUUUUAUUUAAAAUAAUAUUAGGCUUACCACAUUUUUAUUCCAUUGUACAACAUAAGAAGAUUUCAACAUUCAAAAAUACUGUAAGAACUGAAUCAUACCCAACUCAAAAUAUGAUGAAACUCGACUAGUAAAAUGAUGUUAUAUCAACUAGGUACAAAAACACAUACAUUUAAAAUAUGGUGCAAAGUAAUAGUUGUGUGUGACUUACCUUUGUUGAUCAAUAAUUGCAGUUUAAAUCGUGAUGAAACUAUAGAAAAUAUGAGUGCUAAAUUGCUAUAAAAUAAACAAAUAAACACUACAAAUAAAACAGAUUUUACAACAGCAGUAUGUAAUUAAAAGAACAUUAAUUGAGUCGAGGCAAGUGUUGGACACUCUGACCUUAAGAUGAAUUACGCCCCACACUGGUGUUUAUGGUUCUCUAGCGUUCGCCUCCCAGGAUACAACGACUCUCCUCCUUAUGAAAGAAGCACUCCAAUUCACAAGGAACUUUUAAUUACAUACUGCUAUUGUAAAAUCUGUUUUGUUUGUAGUGUUUAUUUGUUUAUUUUAUAGCAAUUAGCACUCAUAUUUCCUACAAUCUUAAGAUGAAUUAUUUGUGUUAAUUGCUAUAUACAUUAAUCUGUGUUUAAUUGCCAUGUACAUAAAUCUAUGUUUGUGUAUUUAAUUGUUAACGUUGCAAAGGAUUUGAUUUUGGUACAAACAGCAAAACAUCUUUGUAUUAUUUGUUUAUUCUAUUGAAUUGGUUUCCUGUUAGUUUCUUUUGUUUUAUACAAUUCAAAGUUAAACAAAUCUAAGUUAUAAUAAUUGGGACUAUUCAAUAAAGAUUGCCACAAACACUAAUUGCCUUCUGUUUCUAUUGUUAGACAAAGUCUACAUAUACAGCAUCGGUUUUUAUUUAUUUAUUUAGAAUCUGUUUUCUGUUUGGCAUCAUUUUUUAUUAUUCUGUUUAUAAAUUCUGAUUAUAUUUAUCUACAUACAUUAAUAUUACUGUACCUAUGAAUUAUAGCAUUCUGUAUUACUGUUAUCUUGAAUAAUUGCAUAUUGCGUUUGCUAUACUUUUUAUCGGUAUUGUAUUAUUAAUUUCUGUGUGUUUUGUUGUAACACACUAUUGUGAUUCAUAAUUUAUCUAUCAAAGACUAUCAAAUAUUUAUUUAUUGACAUUGAGAUUGUUCACUCUUAAGGAAAAUGUCGAAUGAGAUACAGAAAGUGGGUCCUUCUGUGAAGACAAGUGCACCUGCUGUAGUGUUGCCUUCAUCCCAUAAUCAUGCAGAGAAGCCUGAAAAAUUUAAUGGGAUGGAUUUUAAGAGAUGGCAACAAACGAUGUUGUUCUACAUCACCACAUUGAAUUUGGCUCAUAUCCUGAAAGCAGAUCCUCCUGGACCUGGUGAUACAAUAGAAACAGUGGCUGCUUCUGAUGCAUGGAACCAGUCGGAUUUCCUUUGCAGGAAUUGCGUCCUAAAUGGUUUAAGUGAUGCACUAUACAAUGUGUAUAGUCCAAUUCAGACUGCCAAGGCUUUAUGGGAGUCACUAGACAAGAAAUAUCGAACCGAAGAUGCAGGAAUGAAGAAAUUUAUUGUCGGUCGGUUUCUUAACUACAAGAUGGUAGACUCCAAGACUGUCAUAAGUCAAGUCCAAGAACUCCAACUCAUUCUACAUGAGAUACAUGCAGAAAAGAUGGAAUUGAGUGAGUCUUUCCAAGUGGCCACUGUCAUUGAAAAACUACCACAAUCUUGGAAGGAUUUCAAAAACUACCUUAAGCAUAAGCAUAAGGAGAUGGGACUUGAGAAUUUGAUAGUAAGGCUAAGGAUCGAAGAGGACAAUCGCCGUGCUGACAAAAAGUCUGGAUCCAUAAUGGAAGCUAAGGCUAACAUAGUGGAAAAAGAGUCAAGAAAUAACAAAAAGAGGAAGCACUCUGGAGAAGGCUCAAGUCAAGGGAACUCCAAGAAGUCCAAGGAAUUUAAGGGAAAGUGCUUCAAUUGCAACAAGCAAGGGCAUCGAGCUGUGGAUUGCCGAAGUAGAAAUGGACAAGGCAACCAAAAGAAAAAGGGCAAGACUGAGGCACACAUGACUGAAGAAGACAAGCUUUCAACUGAUUUGUCAUAUAUUAAUCUUUCUGCAGUCGUGUCUGAAGUGAACUUGGUGGGCAACACCAAGGAAUGGUAGGCGGAUACUGGAGCUACACGCCACAUAUGUUAUGAAAGGAAAAUGUUUUCUACAUAUGAAGCAAAUGAUCAAAGAGAGCCUUUAUUCAUGGGAAACUCCUCCACCUCCAAAAUUCAUGGCCAAGGGAAAAUAGUUCUAAAGAUGACAUCUGGAAAGGAAGUCACUCUCAAUAAUAUACUUCACGUCCCUGAGAUCCAGAAGAACUUGGUUUCUGGAUCACUGCUUAGCAAGUGAGUUUUGUUCCCAACACGGAAUUAUUCACCAAACUACUGCUCCAUACUCACCUCAGCAAAAUGGUAUUGCUGAACGCAAAAACCGUACUUUGAAAGAAAUGAUGAAUGCUUUGCUAGUAAGUUCUGGAGCAACCCAGAAUUUGUGGGGGAAAGCUUUACUUUCUGCUAAUUACAUUCUCAACAAAUUGCCUCAUAAAAAGUUAGACAAAACACCUUAUGAGUUAUGGAAAGGUUACAAGCCUUCCUAUAAAUACUUGAAAGUCUGGGGGUGUCUAGCUAAAGUUGCGGUUCCAACCCCUAAAAAGGUUAAGAUAGGACCCAAAGCUAUUGACUGUAUCUUUAUUGGUUAUGCCAUUAACAGUAGUGCAUAUCGUUUCCUUGUACACAAAUAUGAUAUAUUAGAUGUACAUGUGAAUACGAUUAUUGAAUCAAGGAAUGCAUCUUUCUUUGAAAAUGUAUUUCCUUAUAAGGAUGCACAAGAAAGAAAUACACUUAAAAGAACCUUUGAUACUGUUAAUAGCGAUAGCCAAGAAAGUCAUCGAGAAAAUAUAGACAAAGAGACUACAGAACCAGAACCUGGACAUGAACCUAGGCGUAGUAAGAGAGCUAAGACAACCAAAUCCUUUGGUCCUGAGUUUCUAACUUAUUUGUUAGAAAAUGAGCCUCAAACCUACAAAGAAGCCAUGACUUCUUCUGAAGCUCCAUUAUGGAAAGAGGCUAUUAAUGCCGAAGUUGAAUCCAUCAUGCAGAAUUACACUUGGGAACUUGUGGAUCUUCCUCCUGGAAAUAAACCAUUGGGUUAUAAAUGGAUUUUUAAGAAGAAGAUGAAAGCUGAUGGAUCAAUUGACAAAUACAAGGCAAGGCUUGUUGUCAAAGGUUAUAAGCAAAGAGAAGGAUUGGAUUACUUUGACACAUAUUCACCAGUUACUAGAAUAACAUCGAUAAGAAUGUUAAUUGCACUUGCAGCAUUGCAUAAUCUUGAGAUACAUCAAAUGGAUGUGAAAACGGCCUUUCUAAAUGGUGAUUUAGAUGAGGAAAUUUAUAUGGAACAACCUGAAGGGUUUAUUGUUCCUGGACAAGAAAAGAAAGUCUGUAAGCUUGUUAAGUCUUUGUACGGGUUAAAGCAAGCACCAAAACAAUGGCAUCUGAAAUUUGACAAUGCACUAAUGUCAAAUGGUUUCAAGAUCAAUGAGUGUGAUAAAUGUGUUUAUACGAAAAGCACUCAAGAUGGUUUUGUAAUUAUUUGUCUUUAUGUUGAUGAUAUGUUAAUUAUUGGUAGCAAUAUUGGGAUGAUUAAAUCUACCAAGAAAAUGUUGACCAAUAAUUUUGACAUGAAAGAUUUGGGAGAAGCAGAUGUGAUUCUAGGGAUUAAAAUUUCUAGAACAUCUGAUGGACUAGUGUUAUCCCAAUCACAUUAUAUUAACGGAUGCAACAGGUGAAGCCUUUCUCAGGUGUGGUGUUGCCAAAGUUGGGAUACCCAACAUUCCCGGCUCCUUGACGUGCAGUUAUUGUAUUGCCACAAAUGUAGUGACCACCACCUUGACCUCAUACAUUAUGAAAGUUUGACACCCCAACAUUCUGACUGCAGUGGCGACGACAGGAUUUUAUGUGUGUGGAGUCAUCUCAUAAAAUAUAAACAAUAAAAAAUUCAAACUCAAGACAUUCCAAAAUAUCAAAAAUAAUAUUAUCUAUUCAUUACAAUCAACCACACAAACAAAAUUUCAUUAAAAAAAAAAAAUUCAUUACAAUUCAUAAUUGUCCUUAACAAGUUUUCAUAUUUUGAAAUCGUUGCAUAACAACCGCAUCAUCUAUACUAUUAAAAAAAAAAAUUUCAUCAACCAAGCAGUCAUUCAUCUAUGACCUAAUUUUAAAACUUGAUAAGGCCAAUGGGUUCAACCACAGUGGUGGUGACUUCACCCUUCUUCCCCUGGCACUCCCGUUCGAAACCCCAUGUGUGCACAUUGGUGCUUGAGCCCCCCUCCCCUUAGAGUAGCCUAUCGUUGUAUGAAAAAAAUAAAAAAAUAAAAAAAUAAAAAAAUAAAAAAAAUAAAAAGAUAAUAUAAUACUGAGUUUAAGAAAAAAACCCACAAACAAAGAGAAAGUUUGCUCCCGCUAAGAACAUAGAAAAUUGGAUUAAAAUCCCUUUGCUUUUUAGCAAUUUGUGUACAAAGGUAAUAUUUGUGUUAAAAGGUAAUAUAAUAAUCAGUCCUGAUCUCUUGGACCACAGGAGCCCAAGAGAUUGUGGUCAAAUAAAUAUAGCUCCAGUAUUGGCCAUAUAAUCGCUGCCCCAAUCUGAAUAUAAACAAGAAUGAGGAUACAAAUAAUUUGUACUCAUUCAUAUUUCCUCGCUAAAUAAUCUAUUAACAAGAAAUUUUUGGAUAAUUUAAAGAAUUUCUAGUCCCUAAUGGCUUUAUUUCAUUGAUUGCUACUUUUAGCAAUUUAAUACUUAAUGCAUGCAAUUGAUAUUCAUAUAUUAUAGAAUUUUCAUUUGGGACUCUUCAGAACAAUUUUGUAAUCAGAUUUGGGGCUCUAAAUGCCAAACUAUUGAAUNNNNNNNNNNNNNNNNNNNNNNNNNNNNNNNNNNNNNNNNNNNNNNNNNNNNNNNNNNNNNNNNNNNNNNNNNNNNNNNNNNNNNNNNNNNNNNNNNNNNUGUGGUCCAAGAGAUUGGGACUGAUAUAAUAAUAGUUUGGGUUAAUUAUUGUAGACGUCUCUGAAUUUGGCCCCCAUUUGCAAUUGGGUUCGUGAAUUUUUUUUUUGGGCAAUUACAUCCGUUAACUCGAUAAAUAGUUUCAAUUGGGUCCUGCCUUCCAAUUCUGUCAAUUUAUGUGUCAAAGUGAGAGGGUAAAAGCAUCCUUUCAGGUUCUUCAUCCAUCAUUGACCCCAACUCCACCUUCUUCAUCCAUCAUCAACGCUAACAACCCCGCCUCCAUCUUCACAAGUUUACAAUACAAAUUCAUAUCAAAUAGUUUGUGAUUGGUAGAAACCACAUAGGAUUUACUUGGCGCUAUUUACAGUUUGUAAAAUUGAAAAGAAAAAAUGAAAAAACUCAAAAAACUGAAAAAGCAUCUAUACCUCUCUGUCUCUCUCAGCUCUCCCUCUCUCCAGCAACGCAUUCCCCCUCCUCCUUAGCCCACUCCCUCAAAACCCAUAUCCCAACCCAACCUGCAACCCACCCCCCAUCUCCCAACCUGUAAAACCCAGAACCCACCCUCAACCCCAUCCCCUCAGCUCUCCUCCUCCGCUACUGCCGUAACAGCGGCGACGCCCUUGGCCCCAUAAUGAACGCCACCGCAAUCGCCAUCUACGACACGACGUUGGUAGACGUGGCCAAACCCAACGCCGUCAACUUCUGCACUUGUUUCACUAUCUACGCCAGGUGCUGUGACUCCAGCUUCACCACCGAGCUCACGAUGGCUAGCUCCGAUGUGAUUCUAUUUCUCCGAUUUUGCUUGUUGUUUGUUGUUUGUUGAAUUGAUGAAUUUGUGAACUGCAUUUUGUUGGUGUUUGUGAUUAGAUCAGGAUUUUCGUUCAAUUUGGGGAAAAAAAUUUGUUGGUGUUUGUGAUGAAUUUGUGAACUGCAUUUUCCUUUUUUUUGGGUCGAAAACACACUUUCAUUUACGAAAGGGAAAGAGAGGGCCACAGCCCCAUUACAACCAAGAAACAGCACCAAAUAAAACAACAACCCAGGCUAACAAAAGUAAACCCCAGGGAACAAUACAAGGAGCCACAGAGGCCGACUACACCAGUCUGAGCCAAAACCAAAAAGAGCCACCAACCAGCUAGGAAAAUCAACCUAGGACGCUGCCCCAGAAGACGAGCGUCAACUCCUAACUGGGCAAAAAGACCUUAGCUUUGCGGAGGACAGGGAAGUUUGUUGGGCAACUUUGAUCAUAUUUGGGGAAAAAAUUUCCAUAUGAUUUUGUUUUUGGAUUGUGGUUAUGUUCAAUCCAUUCUGAAAAUGACGCUUUUAUCCCUAAUUUUAACGGGCAAAUUGACAGAGUUGGAUGGCAGGACCCAAUUAGAACAAUUUAUCGAGUUAACAGAUGUAAUUGCCGAAAAAAAAAUUCACGGACCCAAUUGCAAAUGGGGGCCAAGUUCAGGGACGUCUAUAGUAAUUAACCCUAAUAGUUUUAUUACAACUUUUGGGAAUGGGUUUGCAAGAGAAGACGUAGUCUUGGAGGAAACGUAGGUUUGGUUGGGUAGGGCCCCACGUGGUAAAAUAAAUAUGUUAAUUAACUAUAUGGAUUAGGCUUAAUAUCACAAAACGUCCCUAAGGUUUACGAAACUAUCCUAUUGCAUCCUUAUUAUUUUUUUAUGUCAUUCGUGGUCCUGAAUGUUAGUAUAUGUGCUCAUAAAUGGUUCCUGUCGUCAGGUUCCAUCAAAAACUCAGUUAAUUUGCUGACAUAACACAUAUAUAUUUUAAAAUAAUUUCAAAUUUAAAAUUCAUAAAAGACUUUAUAUCACAAAACUAUCAAAUUGCAUCCUUCUUAUUAUUUUUUUUUUGUUUUUAAUAUACACUCACAAAUGGAGUUUUUUGUUUUUU
rnacentral:lncRNA from 1 species